UUCUUGGUUUGGUACUUGCCGUAGGACUAGAUCUCGACCCCGGGUUCCCAUCUGCAUUUGACGAGGGAGCCCUCAUCUUCGGCUGUGGCCAUUUCUGCAUGAAUCCUGUCGGAAAUCUGGACCCGUGGGGAGUCCAGAAGGGUUUCCGGGGGAAGGCAUGCUUCGGCCCCGUAGACUGGGGGGCACGGGGUCCCCCUGGGGACCCAUCUAGCUAUCUCCACCGGAGUAGGAGCCUCCAGCGAAGACAUCCUUUAGGUCCCCUCAGGUGACUGAUACCCGAGGUCUCGUUCAGCCGCGGCCACCUCGCCGUCGUCGACCUUUUCUUUGCCAGGUCGGCGACGAGGUGGGAAACCGUCCUUGGAGGACUGCUCACGCCGCUCGCUAACACGUUUCGCGAGAUCAAUGAUCUCAUGACACUCCGCGGCACUGUGGCGACCGUUGGGGUGCACAGGGCAUGAGCCGCUGUUACCCCUCUACGGCCGUGGGCAUUUGUUGCGGUCGCCUCGGCCCCCGGUCGCGGCUGCAACGACUAGAGCGGUGGACCGCGGCUUCUGGUAGUCACGAUCCUUCUUCUUUUUCUUCUUAUCAUCCUGGGGGACGGUACCCGAGCCACCCGACUGGGCAGCCCUAGUCUGUGGGACCGAGUGCCAUGCACGACCCUCGAUAGCUCUGGCGCACUUUUCGGCCAGAGCAAAGAGCGUGGGGACAGUUUCCAUGUCAUGCGUAGCCAACUUCUCCAGCAUUUUCUCAUCACGUACUCCCUGUCGGAAUGCUGUGAUGAUGGAAGCAUCGGAAAUGCGAGUUAUAGUAUCUUGCACCUUGGUGAAGCGGGAGAUGAACGUUUGGAGAGUCUCCCCGGGCUCCUGCCUCACCGCAUGGAGGUGGGCCUCCACACCAUGCUGCCGGUAAGCACCGGCGAAGUUCACAACGAACCGCGUGCAGAGCUCUUCCUAGGAGUAGAUUGACCCUGGGGUGAGGUUCAUGAGCCAAGUCCAGGCAGGUCCAGACAAGGCGACAUGAAAAUAUGUCGCCAUCAUAGCGGUGUUUCCACCUGCUGUCGUGAUGGCGGUGACGUACACCUGCAGGAACUCCGACGGGAUUGACGUUCCAUCGUACUUUUCUGACAAGUGUGGCCGGAACUUGGGCGGCCAUGAUGCCGCACGGAGAUGGUCCGCGAGAGCGGCGUAGCCCACGCCGGCCAAGGGGACACCCGCUUGAGAUCGAGCGCCCAUUGGUGUCUGCGGUGCUACCGCAGCGAAGUCCUGAUCGAGGUUGCAGCCCUCGAUGUUUUGGCGGCGCUCAUGCGCCCUUUCCAGAGAGACUCGGGCAUCCUCUCCUGUGCGCCUGUGGUUGAGUUCGGCCUAGGGGUCGUUGGUCUGUGCGCCCCUUACUAAGGGUGAGCGCACAGACGCCGACGCCUCAUGUUGGCACCGGGAUGACCGUGACCUCGACCUGGUCGAGGUAGAAUGUGCCAUGCCGAGUAGUCGGUCAACAUCGUCCUGCCACUGUUUCAUGGCCCCUGGCGAGGCCGUGGAGCUUGGAGGGUGACGUAGCAACUCUCUUGCUGCUGACAAUGCUCCCGGGGCCAUUCUUAACGGAGUCCGGGAUGUUUGUGCAGCUGUAUGCUGUCAUACAGCGUGCACAACGGCAGUGCCCGGCACAGGGCGGUUGGGAACCUGUGGCGUGGAAGAAGCAGCUUCUUCCUCCACCACGAAAUCCACCGAAGUCUCGGCGCGGUACUCAACGAUUUGCACCAUCAUGCUGAGCGAGAAAACAAGCAAAAACUUCAAGCCUAGGCCCCCUACCUGGCGCGCCAAAUGUUGGGAGGGAAUUCUCCAGCCGGGUGGCAGAGUGCACCCGCCUUAAGUCCUAAGAUGAGGAGGGGGCUUAAGCAUUUUGCCUGUUUAGCUAAGCGAUAGUCAAGCACAUGAACACGCGAGGAUUUAGAGUGGUUCGGGCCGCCAGAGCGUAAUACCCUACUCCACUGUGUGUUGGAUUGUUGUGGAAGCUUGAGCUGUGUGUAAGCCUGGACGACUUGUCCCUUUGUAACGCCGCAUGCCUCCCCUUUUAUAGCUGAAGGGGGGCAUGCACAAAAGUGCUGAGCCCCAACAUGUGGGCCCAGGGACAUAAUGGAUAUAGCACUUGGAGCUACAAAUGUUCGUUGCUGGAGCAAUCUUCUCGCGCCCUGACAUCCGAGAUCUGCGUAUCCUUGGCAUGCAGGGGAAGCUUCUUGUAUAAGGGAUGGUGAGUACAGUGCGCUGCAUGGCACGGACGCACUGUUUGACAACAGACUGGACAGGCGCGCCGUCUGCAGGAUGACCCCUGACGUUGUCUGCCAGCGGAGUGGACAGGACGCAUUAAAUGCUGAGAGGGCACAUCACCUGUCAGCAUGGUGGCAGGCGGCGCAUCCUCUCCGCAAUAAAUGCAGAGAUCGCGGGGCUUUAGAGGCCUCACGUCAGGCCCUGCCCGUUGGCUUAUAUCACGGGCUACAAGCCACGCGGCGGUUGCGGGUCUUCGCCUGAGCGGGGAGCGCAGGGCAAGGCCUGGACACGUGCCAGCUCCGGACCCUCACUCAUGUCGGGGUUCCUUCCGUCCCGGGGCCUUGCUGUGGCCCGGACCUUACUCGGAGAGACCUGGGGCCCGUCAGCAUGCCUUCUUGGGAGUUCCAGACUAUAUCCGAGGGUCCGGGCUAUGCGUACAGGGGUCCGGUGUUCCUCUGUGGAGGUCCGGACCUAAUGAUGCAUCCUUGGGUGUACUAUCUCUCCUUGCCACGUGGUGCCCCUAGACCCGCCCAUGUGGUGGGGUCGGGCGGCGUUCUCCAUGUGGCCAGGAGACGUCGUAUGUGUACAACGUCUUUAUACUGUAAUAGAGGGUACCCCUGAUUGAGGGUACUGACAGUGCCCUUGGGCCAUUUCUAUAAAUGUUUUGGUGAUUAAACGCCCAACACAAAUUACUUUGAUUCAAAUGUCCUAAAGAGAAUGCAAAGCAAGAAUCAAGGUAUGUUUCUAGCCUUAGUGAAUUGUUUUUGAUACUAACAUAUUUACCUAAGUGAUAGGAAAAACAUCAAAAGAAAGUGGAGAAGAUUUGGCUGAGUUCAGUAAAACCAGCACCAACAUGUGGUGCACCAGACUGUCCGGUGUGCAUCAGACACUGGCCCAGCGACGAACGCUCUCAGGAAAAAGCCAAAGGCACUGCGACUAAAAUUUACCGGACUGUCCGGUGAGCCAAAGGCGCCCGCGGCCAACGGUCUAUAGUGCAAUCAGCGGGCGACGCGUGGUCCGCCCCAACAAUCAGUUGGUCACACCGGACUGUCCGGUGCACCAACAGGACCGAAGGUCCAACGGUCUGCUGCGCCCGAUAAGGAAGGAGUUCGAGCACCAGACAACUACUGUUCAUGUCUGGUGGUGCGCCGGACUGUCCGGUGCGCCACCCGACAGAAGGCAAGAAUUGCUUUCCAAUUGAAUCUCCAACGCCUCCUAGCUUCCUUGGGGCUAUAAAAGGGACCCCUAGGCGCAUGGAGUAGUACACCAAGUAUUCACUAAUCAUUCUAAGACUCCUAGACUUCGCCACCACACACUCGGAUCAUUGUGUUAGAGAUUUGAGCAUCGUUUGAGUUAUAAACUCCCUGCGCCGUGUUUUGUGCUCACGUCUUGGCUUGUGUGCAUGUGUUUGCUGCGUUUCUAGUCUUGUGUGUGUUGCUUUCCCUCCCUUACUCUUGUGUUUUUUGUGUGAUCAACAUUAUAAGGGCGAGAGGCUCCAACUUGUAGAGAUUCAUCGCAAACGGGAAAAGACUGCUGAGGAAGAAAACCGUGGUACUCAAAGUUGAUCAUUGGAUCACUUGAGAGGGAUUGAGUGCAAUCCUUGACCGAAGGAGGUCACCACAACGUGGAGUAGGCAUUGGCCAAACCACGAGAUAAAAAUCACUGUGUCUCGUGUUCCUCUUCAUUGUGAUUGGUUUUCUUCUAGAGUUCUCACUUUAGCAACUUGGUUUUAAUCGCACUAACAUUUCAUAACCAAGUUUUGGCUAGUUAGUAUUUGAUUUUAUAGGAUCACCUAUUCACCCCUCUCUAGGUGCUCUCAAGAACUCUAGAACAACCCUAGCAAUUAUGGCAUAUACUAGAAAUAUAAGUGCUCAAAAGUAAAUUGCUCAAAACAAAUGCAGAAACUAAAGCAAAGGGUUUAGAUUACUCCUCCGAUUUUUCCCAAGGUAAGAGUCAACACUCUCCACUUGUCCUCGUUAGAGCAUCCGUGUAAGGGUAUACCUCUAAAAGGAAAGUAUGCCCUUAGGCCAUUUCUAUUAGUGUUUUGGUGAUUAGAUGCUCAACAAAUAUUGAUUGAGUUCUUAUGUGCUAAAUGAGUGAGAAGUGAAAAUCAAAGAACAAGGUAUGUUUCUAGACUUAGUAAAUUGUUUUUUGUUACUAACAUGUUUAUCUAAGUGCUAGAAACAGUGCCAAGAAAAGAAGAUUUGAAUUAGAAAAGAGUUGGCUAAGUACAGCCAAAACCAGCACCAGCCUGGCACACUGGACUGUCCGGUGGUGCACCGGACAGUGUCCGGUGCCCCAGGCUGGCUCGGCGUGAACUGGCCGCUCUCGGGAAUCGGCCGGCGACUUGGCUAAAAAUCACCGGACUGUCCAGUGGUGCACCAGACUGUCCGAUGAGUCAGAGUCACCCAAGCCAACGGUCGGCAGCGGAAACAGCGGGCGACACGUUGCCCGCGCCAACGGUCGGUUGGGUACACCGAAAUGUCCGGUGUGCAUCGGAUAGUGUACGGUGCGCCAAUGGGAUCACCGGCUCAACGGUCGGAUGCGCCAGAUAAAGAAGGAGAUCACGCACCGGACGACUAUAGGACCUGUCCGGUGGUUCAUCGAACUGUCCGGUGCGCCACUCGGCAGAAGACAAGAAUUGCCUUCCAAGUUGAUCUCCAACGGCUCCUAGCUGCCUUGGGGCUAUAAAAGGGACCCCUAGGCGCAUGAAGCAGAACACCAAACAUUCACAAAGCAUCCUAAGACUCCCAGACUCCGCCUCCGCGCAUUUGAUCGACUGUGUUAGUGAUUUGAGCUCCGUUCGAGUUGUGAACUCUCUGUGCUGUGUUUUGAGCUCAAGUCUUGGCUUGUGUGCAUGUGUGUGCUGCGGAUUUGAGUCUUGCGUGUGUUACUCUCUCUCUUACUACUGUGCUUCUAUUGUGUUAAACUUGUAAGGGCGAGAGGCUCCAAUCUGUGGAGAUUCCUUGCAAACGAGAGAAAGACUCUAAGGAAGAUAGUCGUGGUACUCAAAGUUGAUCAUUGGAUCACUUGAGAGGGAUUGAGUGCAAUCCUUGACCGAAGGAGGUCACCACAACGUGGAAGUAGGCAUUGGCCAAACCACGGGAUAAAUCACUGUGUCUUGUGUCCAUCUUAUUUUGUGAUCGGCUUUUCUUCUAAAAUUCACACUCUAGCAUCUUGGUUUUAAUCGCACUAACAUUUCAUAACCAAGUAUUGGCUAUUUAGUAUUGAAUUUUGCAGGAUCACCUAUUCACCCUCCCCCUCUAGGUGCUCUCAAUUGGUAUCGGAGUCGUACUCUUCAUCUAAGGUACUAAUCGCCCGAAGAGAUGGAUCCUAAGGGUAAGGGGAUGGUGGUCAACGAUAAGGAGAAGGAGUCUCUCUUCAACGAGCCAAGAGACGACAAGCCCACUGAUCAGGCUCGAGUCACAAGAAGAGGGACAGGAAGAAGAAGAGGCGCAUCAAGAAGAUCAUCUACUACGACAGCGACGCCUCCUCUUCUUCACCAAGGGAUGACGACGACAACUCCUCGUCCCAGAAAAGACAGUUAAUCAAAACUACUCCUUUGAUUAUUCCCGUAUUUCGUAUAAUUCAAAUGCCCAUUUACUUUCUAUUCCUCUUGGAAACCCCCACACUUUGAUGGAGAGGAUUACUCAUUUUGGAGUCAUAAAAUGCGUAGUCACCUAUUUUCUCUCCAUCCUAGCAUUUGGGAAAUUGUAGAAAAUGGGAUGCAUUUUGAUAGUACGGAUAAUCCUAAGUUUAUAAAUGAACAAAUUCAUAAAAAUGCCCAAGCUACUACUGUUUUGCUAGCAUCUCUUUGCAGGGAUGAAUACAAUAAAGUGAGUGGCUUGGAAAACGCUAAGCAAAUCUGGGAUACUCUCAAGAUAUCACAUGAGGGUAACGACACCACCAUGAUCACCAAGAUGGAACUGGUGGAAGGCGAGCUGGGGAGGUUUGCGAUGAUUAGGGAGAGGAGCCAACACAGACCUAUAACAGGCUCAAGACCCUGGUCAACAAAAUCCGAAGCUACGGAAGCACAAGAUGGACAGAUCAUGAUGUCGUUCGACUCAUGCUCAGGUCAUUUACAGUAAUUGACCCUCAUCUUGUGAACCUUAUUCGUGAAAACCCCAGGUACACCAAGAUGACGCCCGAGGAAAUCCUCGGAAAAUUCGUGAGCGGGCGCAUGAUGGUGAAGGAGGCGCGAUACGUGGACAAUGCACUAAAUGGUCCACUGCCCAUCUACGGCAUGCAACCCUCAAUUAUGACAAACUAAAAUUUGCUAGGGAUGCCUACACUGUUGGUAGACACCCCUCAAUUAAGGAUGGACUUGGUUUUCAAAAAGAAACCAAGAACUUAACAAGCCAAAGGACUUCCGUUCUCAACAAAGAGAAAGGGAAGGCCCCUAUGGCUAGUAGUUCUCAAAAGAAGCAUGCCUAUAUUAUCAUAGGAAAUUCACUAGUCAUGCUUAUAAUAAUAGAUGCUAUGAUCGUACUGGAUCUCAUGAUGCUACAUUUAAUUCUCAUGCUAUGUUUGCAUCUAGUUCCACUUUUUUUCAUGGUAGAAAUAGGCCUAGGAGAAAUUACGUUCCUUCUCAUGCUCCUAGGAAAGUUUACAAUGUACCUACUUGAACGUUCCCUUUGCCCGGGAACAGGAUCCGGAUGUCGCCUAGAGAGGGGGUGAAUAGACGAAUAAAAUUUAUCACUUUAAAACUUUAGUUCUUACUCUACUCGAAGACCAGAUCGCAGUGGAAUGAAAGACCCUUCAAGUAGGUUGCAGCGGAAUAGAAGAUCCUGUCUCAAAAUCCCCUGCACUCCAAAUAUAACUUGUUCCAUAGAGAAGUGUUGAAGUGCAGAUAUAAAGAGUGAAUAAGACAGAGAGUCAGCACACAAUACAGAGCGAAGCACACAGACGCAUGGAUUUAUCUCGAGGUUCGGCCAAGCCUGAAAUGCUUGCCUAGUCCUCGUUGGAGUUAGCCACACCUAGGCUUGGAAUCUAUUUCAACUCCUUUCUCCGUUUGCUCAGAUCUGUCAGUAUGACAGAUAGAGCCUUCCACUAUGUUGAGUUUGGUUACAACAAAGCUGCGGCUGCUUACAAUCUUCUUGACAGCACUCCAGCAGAGUAACGAUAUGCUCAAGACCUUGCUCUAGAUCUUAGCAGCACUUCUCCACUCUCUCAAGGCUUAUAGUUUUGCCUCUACACAAACUAGAGAGAUAUACACGAGAGGGAGAGAAAGAAUCGAUCCGAGUGAUGUAUACAAUUGUUGGUUGCACUUAUUCAACUGUUGGAGGCGCCUAGGAGUCCCUUUUAUAGACCCAAGGAGCCUAGGAGCCGUUGGAAUCCAUUUUGGAAGGCAAUACUUGCAUUCUGUCGGGUGGCGCACCGGACAGUCUGGUGCACCACCGAACAGGUCCUGUAGCUUGUCCGGUGCGCGAUCUCCUUCCAAAUCAGGCUCAGCUAACCGUUGGAGCAACGGUCGUCUUGGCUCACUGGACACUGUUCGGUGCACACCGGACAGUCCGGUGCGCCAACUAUCCGUUGGCCCAAUCCACGCGUCGCCCGCUGAUCGCGCUGCCGACCGUUGGCGCAGUCGACCGUUGGUUCACCGGACAGUCCGGUGUACCACCAGACAGUCCGCUGAAUUAUAGUCGUACGCCACCAAACUUUCCUGAGACUGGCCUGUUCACCAGAGUUCAGCCUGGCACACCGGACACUGUCCGGUGUGCCAGACUGAGCUGAGUCUUGGCUGUACACAGCCAAGCCUUUUGCAUCUCUUUUCUUUUCUUCUUUUCUCUAUUUCUAACACUUAGACAAAUAUAUUAGUACACAAAAACCAAUGUACUAAGUCUAGAAACAUACCUUGUCUUUGAUUUUCACUUCUCAAGCAUUUGGCAUGAUUGAGAUUUAUGUUCGACUCAUAAAUUAUCAAGUCAGCUUGACUUGAUCUAGAUUGUCAUUUCUGAGCUCCAACAUCCUGCAAAGGUCACAUAGAAUAUUUCUAAACUAGGAACAACCCAAACUAAAGAUCAAGGUGCACUUAGCUCUUUUGGGCUGCUUCCAGUUCUGGUUUUGACAUUGCUUCUCCUUCUAGUGACCUUGUUCACUUUUUGAGCUUGAUCUUGAGCCUUAUGACUUACACCACAUAAUUGUAGAUGUUACCUCAUUGGUUGUAAGUCAUGUCCUUAUGUAGUGUUCCUUGAUGCACCAUAACUCUUCUUAACUCGAUCAACCUUGAUUCCACAAGUCUUCUUCUUCACCCCUGGCCUUGGGUUCCUGAUCUCUUUGACUUUCUCCCAUGCACUCAGUACCUCGAAGCUCUUCUUGCUUCCAUCCUUGGCUUGAUUGGUUGUCUCCAAGUUAUGCACAUCAAGUCUCACUUAGGCAAUGUCCAUCUUUCUUGUGAUGUCCAUUAUAUAGAGAUAAUUCCGUCUUUGGACCAUCACACCUGUCAACUUGUGUUGAACCCUGUUAGCUUUGCAUUCAGCACCUGUUCAACACUUAGCACACUUGUUAGUCCUUUAAUUGGGUUGUCAUCUAAACACCAAAACCCACAAGAGAGCUUUCAAUCUCCCCCUUUUUGGUGAUUGAUGGCAACACAAUUAAAGCUUACAUAAGAGUAAGAUUUAAAGCACAAAUUUUGAAUUCUAAGUUUGUAGAAUGCUCCCCCUGAAUAUGUGCUUACAUCAAAAUCUUAAUUUUGGCCUUAUAUGCCACAUUGCACAUACUUAGGCUAAUUCGAAGCAUUACUACACCUUAGCACCUGUGGGUUGUAUUGUCGAUAAUUAAACAUAUGAACAGAAUCAGAGUUAAACACCAAUCAGUUGAGUGAGUAUACCACAGGAAUAUCAACCUACCACUAUUCACAAUUAAGAUACCAAUUUAAAACAAUUUUAAAGCACCAGAACCACAUGAAUAUCUAUUACAGGAUACACCCAGUAGAUACUAAUUGAUUCAUAUCAACGGAAGCACUAAUUUUGCAUUAUCACCAUAUAAUACAACAAGAAGCAUAGAAUUAUCAAACAAAGCAUUAUCACCAUAUAAUACAACAAGAAGCAUAGAAUUAUCAAACAAACUAACACAACCUAACACAUUCUUCCUUAAGACUAAGGGAAACCACGGAAACCCCUUGAGACCAAGGAAACCUAAGCUUUAAUGCACAAAAAUUCUCAAACAACCUAACACAUUCUUCCUUAAGACCAAGGGAAACCACGGAAACCCCUUGAGACCAAGGAAACCUAAGCUUUAAUGCAUAAAAAUUCUCAAACAAACUAACACAACCUAACACAUUCUUCCUUAAGACCAAGGGAAACCACGGAAACCCCUUGAGACCAAGGAAACCUAAGCUUUAAUGCACAAAAAUUCUCCCCCUUUGACAUCAAACACCAAAACCACAUUCAAGCAAGAACAUAGGAUGAUGUCAAGGGACACUGAGUAUUUAGUUGGUAAAAUACAACACACUAACAUUACUCCCCCUUACACAUUAAACAUAUGCAACACAUGCAUUGGAGGAAAAUUAAGAUUCAAAUACGCAAAAAGGUUACCACUUCCUUUUGUACCUUUACCCUGUUGUGAUGUACUUUCCAUCUUGAUAGUUUAAUAUCUAGGAAGUUCCUUCACACUUGUGCCUGAUCCUUUAUCCUGAUCUUUUUUUGUUGAACUUCAGAUACCAAUUACUUGACUUGCGGAGGUACUCAAGUCCUGAUUGCUCCAUUUCUCGCUCAUCCUCCCUUUUCCACCUUGAGACUAUACAAGAUCACUCAAGAAACAAUUAGUCUCAAAAGACACAAGUUAUGUGUGCUCCCCUUAAAGUUGUGCAUCAAGUAUUUGAAUGACUUUUGCACAUUCUAGCAUCCUCAGAACUAGAGGGGAUCACAACAUACCUCGGUCUAGGCAUAAUACAUCAAUUGCAUCACAAAAAGAUGUCAAUUGAAUAAUUGACUUAAUACAACAAUGCAUGCCUCAAGGAGUAUAACAUUUUACAAGGAACCUAGGCAUGCUUCACACAUGAUGAUCAUUGCACCACAUAUACCAAUUGAAAACAACAAGAUCAUGCAUAUAAAGCGCAAUGUCUAAGCACACCAUGAUUAAGAAGGUUUCUUAGGUACACCAAAAGAAACAACAUUUUAAAGUAAAGAGCACCUAAGCCAAGAUACUACCAAUUCAGAGGCAAGUACGUAGCUGUGAUCACAAUUAAUGGAACUUCAAGAUAUUUAAUGAAAUUGCAUAGUUCCAUUCUCCAAACCUUUGCCUCUUACCUGAAUGCCAUGAGAUCCAUUCUUUUAGGUAGUGUGGAGUGAGAGCACCUGUUGUCACCAAUUUAGGGCUCCUUUUGCUCAUGCACCUCAUAGCUUAAGAGGGUGCAUUAGAGGCACACAUGAAUUUGGUAUACACGCAGUACCAAACUAGGGUAAUCGUGUGAACAUAGACUAAACAAAAUAUCAUGCUUGCACAUAGGUUAAUCAUUAAAAACCAUAUAGCAUGACUUAUAAAAAGAUACAGGUUUAUCCAUGAACACACAAAGAGUUAAUCAUGGUGUAUAUAUCAAAUGAAAAGCUACCCAUUGAACGAUCCAAAAGAUAUAACAUCUAGAACGUACAAUCAUGAUUAAGCAAGCAUUAUUAUGAUUUUGGAAAUCAUGAACCAUUGAUUGAAAGGUAUUUAACACAGGCAAUUUCAAAAGCAUAACUACUUCAAGGAUAGGUAGCAUAACAAUCAAACUUAAGAGCAAUACUGAUUUGCAGUAAUGUACUUAAGAUACACGGGUACCGUCCUUUGGGGAGCAAAUUGCAUAUUCUCAUCAAGGUCCUUUGCUUGAUUCACCAAUAAUGAUUAAAGACCUCUACAACUUAUUUAACUUGAGAUGAACAUGGGAUUAGGAUUGCACAAUAAUUCAACCUUGGGUCAAUAAAUAGACAAUAGAAAUUGAUAGCUUAAGCAUAGAGUUUGAAUUAACCGUCUUAAGCUUUCCCAUGGUCUCCAGUCCAUCUCGAGGCACCUGCAUGAUCUAGUUGGUACAGUUUGGUACCCAUCUCGGGAUGGGUCCAUAACGAUCAUCCAAAAAAACCUUUGGUACCCAAAUAGCAAUUGUGCUAGUUCUAGGUGAUCUCAUUACUGAUCUAGCACAAGUGUAUGGUUUGGGUCUCCUAAGUGAAUAAGAUUGAGAUAAAUUUACUUGCUUACGAACCUUACCCUUUUUACAUACCUGAGAUAGAUGACCAUGCUCACCACACAUGUAGCAGAAGCGUCGCUUAACUUGACAUGACGCUCGAUGUUUGUCUUCUUUCUUGGUGGGGGUCAUCCCGAAGAGUGCACGUGCUUGAUUUUUCAUGAGUGGACAUGAAGUGAUCAUAUGAUCAGUGUCAUUGCAUCCGAAGCAUCUUCUCAUCCCUUCAUUCUUGUCGUUGAAUGGACAUGACGCAAUGAGGUGUCCUAACUCAUUGCACUUAAAGCAUCUCCUUUUUCCUCUUCUCCUUUUGCUCUUGGAAAACAUAGACAGAUGAUCAGUGCAAACAACAUGACUAAUUGAAUCUUUUCCUUUUUCUUUGUUCAUGUUGAUUGCUCCACUUAUUGCCUUAGGAACUUCUUUCUCGCGGAGUUUGACCCUUGCUUCGGUUCCUUCUUCCUCAAGCUUAUUCACCACAUGUUGGUAAAUAUCUUGAGGAAGUCGAGCAUGGCGUCUUCUUCUCAAUUGUCUUUGUUUCUUGUUCCUAAGCAAUUUUCUUUUUGACCUUGCAGCUUGAUGCUUAUUCAAAAGUUGGUUUUCUUUUGAGCAACAGGGGUUAGCACAUGGUGAUAUAUUAUCUAAAUGCGCACGUGUGCAUGAAUGAGGUUCACAUGAGUUUAAAUUAGUGAUUACUAUCUCAUGAGCAAUAUCGAGCAUGAUAUGGUCAUCAACUAAUUUAUUAUGAGAAUAUGACAACAUAUCAUACUUUUCACCUAGAGCAAGCUUUUCUAAAUUUAGCAACUCUACUUGCCUCUCAAGCAUGGCAUUUUCCAUUUUUAGUUGAGCAACACAAGAUAAAUCAUUAUCAUUAUUUCUUUGCUUAAUUAAAACUAAAUCAUACCGUUAGACCAAAACAUCAUGAGAGCACUUUAGCUCCUCAUGUUCUUUGGUCAUCUUCUUCAGGCUGUCGUUGGUUUUGAUUAGAGUUUCCUCUAGCCUGAGAAGCGUCUCGCCUUGUUCCUUGUUCCUUCUCAACAGCUUAACCAAGAGCGCUUUGUCUUCUUUGUUGAGAUGGGUGUAGAAACGAUGAAUCUCCUCUUCUUCCACAUUGUCAGUCUCAUUUUCCCUGUCAUUAUUAUCAGUGGAAGCAAAACAGGAAAAUGUACCUUGUGAUGAUGUAGACUCCUCAUCCUCAUAUUCCUCCUCAUCAUCGCUUUCAUCUCCACUCUCAUCGUUAGCAACAAGACAUGUAUAACUAGUGGGAGAUGAACCUAUCGGUGAGGUGGAUCCAUCGUUUGGUGUCCAAUGUUCUUGUUCUUCUCCCUUGGACAAGUUAGUACUACCAGCAAUAGAGGAAGCAGAAGCAGUGCAUAUGGACUUAAAAAUUUUCAACUUAAUUUUAGUCCAUAGAUCAUGAGCAUCAACAAAUAAGUCACUAUCACUACUCAUGAUGGAAAAAUAGGCACCUCUAGAAAGUGAGUCAACUAAGAUGUUGCAAGCAUGGUGAUUGAGAGAUAGACAUCUUAGUUCAUCAUUAGAAGAAUUUUGACUAAAAUUGGAGGGAAAAAUACUUCUACUAAAAAUCUGUCUCAAAUCAAGAUCAAUACGCAUGAAAGCAUUAUAAAUAGAGACAGACCAGGAUUUAUAAUUAGAACCAUCGCCUAGAAGAAGUUCUACAGUUCCCUCUUGUGACGACAUCGUCAUCUCCGGACGGCUAAGCCCACACUGGAGAGGCCUAGCUCUGAUACCAAUUGAAAGUUCCCUUUGCCCGGGAACAGGAUCCGGAUGUCGCCUAGAGGGGGGUGAAUAGGCGAAUAAAAAUUAUCACUUUAAAACUUUACUUCUUACUUUACUCGAAGACCAGAUCGCAGUGGAAUGAAAGACCCUUCGAGUAGGUUGCAGUGGAAUAGAAGAUCUUGUCUCAAAAUCCCCUGCACUCCAAAUAUAACUUGUACCACAGAGAAGUGUUGAAGUGCAGAUAUAAAGAGUGAAUAAGACAGAGAGUUAGCACACAAUACAGAGCAAAGCACACAGACGCAAGGAUUUAUCCCGAGGUUCGGCCAAGCCUGAAAUGCUUGCCUAGUCCUCAUUGGAGUUAGCCACACCUAGGCUUGGAGUCUAUUUCAACUCCUUCCUCCGUUUGCUCAGAUCUGUCAGUAUGACAGAUAGAGCCUUCCACUAUGUUGAGUUUGGUUACAACAAAGCCGCGGCUCCUUACAAUCUUCUUGACAGCACUCCGAUAGAGUAACGAUAUGCUCAAGACCUUGCUCUAGAUCUUAGCAGCACUUCUCCACUCUCUCAAGGCUUAUAGUUUUGCCUCUACACAAACUAGAGAGAUAUACACGAGAGGGAGAGAAAGAAUCGAUCUGAGUGAUGUAUACAAUUGUUGGCUGCACUUAUUCAACUGUUGGAGGCGCCUAGGAGUCCCUUUUAUAGACCCAAGGAGCCUAGGAGCCGUUGGAAUCCAUUUUGGAAGGCAAUACUUGCAUUCUGUCAGGUGGCGCACCGGACAGUCCGGUGCACCACCGGACAGGUCCUGUAGCUUGUUCGGUGCACGAUCUCCUUCCAAAUCAGGCUCAGCUAAUCGUUGGAGCAACAGUCAUCUUGGCUCACCGGACACUGUCCGGUGCACACCGGACAGUCCGGUGUGCCAACUAUCCGUUGGCCCAAUCCACGCGUCGCCCGCUGAUUGCGCUGCUGACCGUUGGCGCAGUCGACCGUUGGUUCACCGGACAGUCUGGUGCACCACCGGACAGUCCGCUGAAUUAUAGCCGUAUGCCGCCAAACUUUCCCGAGACUGGCCUGUUCACCGGAGUUCAGCCUGGCGCACCAGACACUGUCCAGUGUGCCAGACUGAGCUGAGUCUUGGCUGUACACAACCAAGCCUUUUGCAUCUCUUUUCUUUUCUUCUUUUCUCUGUUUUUAACACUUAGACAAAUAUAUUAGUACACAAAAACCAAUGUACUAAGUCUAGAAACAUACCUUCUCUUUGAUUUUCACUUAUCAAGCAUUUGGCAUGAUUGAGAUUUAUGUUGGACUCAUAAAUUAUCAAGUCAGCUUGACUUGAUCUAGAUUGUCAUUUCUGAGCUCCAACAUCCUACAAAGGUCACAUAGAAUAUCUCCAAACUAGGAACAACCCAAACUAAAGAUCAAGGUGCACUUAGCUCUUUUGGGCUGCUUCCAGUUCUGGUUUUGACAUGCUUCUUGAAAGUCGCCUAGAGGGGGGUGAAUAGGGUAAAACUGAAAUUUAUAAAGUUAAUCACAACUACAAGCCGGGUUAGCGUUAGAAAUAUAAGUGAGUCCGAGGGAGAGGGUGAAAAACAAAUCACAAGAAAAUAAAGAGUGAGACACAAGGAUUUGUUUUACCAAGGUUCGGUUCUUGCAAACCUACUCCCCGUUGAGGUGGUCACAAAGACCGGGUCUCUUUCAACCCUUUCCCUCUCUCAAACGGUCACAUAGACCGAGUGAGCUUCUCUUCUCAAUCACACGGGACACUAAGUCCCCACAAGGACCACCACACAAUUGGUGUCUCUUGCCUCGGUUACAAUUGAGUGAAUCAAUGAGAAAGAAAAGAAGCAAUCCAAGCGCAAGAGCUCAAAUGAACACAAAUGUCACUCUCUCUAGUCACUAUUUGAUUUGGAGUGAUUCCGGACUUGGGAGAGGAUUUGAUCUCUUUGGUUGUGUCUAGAAUUGAAUGCUAUAGCUCUUGUAAUGUGUUGGAAGGUGGAAAACUUGGAUGCAAUGAAUGGUGGGGUGGUUGGGGUAUUUAUAGCCCCAACCACCAAACUAGCCGUUUGGUGGAGGCUGCUGUCGAAUGGCGCACCAGACAGUCCGGUGCGCCACCGGACACUGUCCGGUGUGCCAGCCACGUCACCCGACCGUUAGGGUUCGACUGUUGGAGCUCUGACAGGUGGGGUCUUCUGGCUGUCCGGUGGUGCACCGGACAAGUACUGUAGACUGUCUAGUGCGCCUUCUGACGCUGCUCUGACUCUGGCGCGCACUGUAGCGCAUUAAAUGCGGUUGCAGUCGACCAUUGGCGCUGAAGUAGCCGUUGCUCCGCUGACACACCGGACAGUCCGGUGAAUUAUAGCGGAGCACCCUCUGAUUUUCCCGAAGGUGACGAGUUUGGAGCUGAGUUCCCUGGUACACCGGACACUGUCCGGUGGCGCACCGAACAGUCCGGUGUGCCAGACCAGGGCACACUUCGGUUGUCUUUUGCUCUCUUUGUUUGAACCCUUUCUUGGUCAUUUUAUUGGUCUAUUGUGAACCUUUGGCACCUGUAAAAUUUAUAAUCUAGAGCAAACUAGUUAGUCCAAUUAUUUGUGUUGGCAAAUUCAACCACCAAAAUCAAUUAGGAAAAGGUGUAAGCCUAUUUCCCUUUCAAUCUCCCCCUUUUUGGUGAUUGAUGCCAACACAAACCAAAGCAAAUAUAGAAGUGCGGAAUUGAACUAGUUUGCAUAAUGUAAGUGCAAAGGUUGCUUGGAAUGAAACCAAUAAAUAUUACUUACUAGAUGCGCAUGGAUGGCUUUUCUUCUUAUUAACAUUUUGGACCACGCUUGCACCACAUGUUUUGUUUUGCAAAAUAUUUUGGAAAUUCUUUUCAAAGUUCUUUUGCACAUAGUCAAAGGUAAAUGAAUAAGAUUUUGAGAAGCAUUUUCAAGUUUUGAAAUUUUUCUCCCCUUGUUUCAAAUGCUAUUCCUUUGACUAAACAAAACUCCCCCUUAAUGAAAUCCUCCUCUUAGUGUUCAAGAGGGUUUUAGAUAUUAAUUUUGAAGAGGGUAUACCAAUUUGAAAUUAUAUCAAAAUAAGAUACCAAUUGAAAAACUUCUUUUAAUACCAAUUAAAAGACUACAUUUUUUGAAAUUGGUGGUGGUGCAGUCCUUUUGCUUUGGGCUAAUACUCUCUCCCCCUUUGGCAUGAAUCGCCAAAAAUGGAUGCUCAAGUGAAAUAUAAGCCCAUUUAAACUACUCUCUCCCCCUUUGGAUGGAAGUAAAGAAGUGAAGAUUAUACCAAAGUUGGAGGGUUAGUGCGGAGUGACGGCGAAGGAUGAAUGAUUCGAUGGAGCGGAGUGGAAGCCUUGUCUUCGCCGAAGACUCCUUUUCCCUUUCAAUCUAUGACUUAGCAUGAAAUGGACUUGAAAGAACAUAUUAGCCAUAGCACAUGAAAGAGAUGAUCAAAGGUAUACAUAUAAGCUAUGUGUGCAAAACCUCAAUAAAAGUUUCUAGAAUCAAGAAUAUUUAGCUCAUGCCUAAGUUUGGUAAAAGUUUGUUCAUCCAAUGGCUUGGUAAAGAUAUCGGCUAAUUGUUCUUUGGUGCUAACAUAUGCAAUCUCGAUAUCCCCCUUUUGUUGGUGAUCCCUUAGAAAAUGAUACCGAAUGGCUAUGUGUUUAGUGCAGCUAUGCUCAACGGGAUUAUCCGCCAUGAGGAUUGCACUCUCAUUAUCACAUAGAAGAGGAACUUUGGUUAAUUUGUAACCAUAGUCCCUAAGGGUUUGCCUCAUCCAAAGCAAUUGCGCGCAACAAUGUCCUGCGGCAAUAUACUCGGCUUUGGCGGUUGAAAGAGCCACAGAGUUUUGCUUCUUUGAAGCCCAAGACACCAGAGAUCUUCCCAAGAACUGGCAAGUCCCGGAUGUGCUCUUUCUAUUAAUUUUGCACCCUGCCCAAUCAGCAUCGGAAUAACCAAUUAAAUAAAAUGUGGAUCCCCUGGGGUACCAAAGGCCAAACUUAAGAGUAUGAACUAAAUCUCUCAAGAUUCGUUUUAUGGCCCUAAGGUGAGCUUCCUUAGGAUCGGCUUGGAAUCUUGCACACAUGCAUACGGAAAGCAUAAUAUCCGGUCGUGAAGCACAUAAAUAGAGUAAGGAACCUAUCAUCGACCGGUAUACCUUUUGAUCGACGGAUUUACCUCCCGUGUCGAGGUCGAGAUGCCCAUUAGUUCCCAUGGGUGUCUUGAUGGGCUUGGCGUCCUUCAUCCCAAACUUGGUUAGAAUGUCUUGAAUGUACUUCAUUUGGCUAAUGAAGGUGCCCUCUUGGAGUUGCUUCACUUGAAAUCCUAGGAAAUACUUCAACUCCCCCAUCAUCAACAUCUCGAAUUUUUGAGUCAUGAUCCUACUAAACUCUUCACAUGUAGAUUCGUUAGUAGACCCAAAUAUGAUAUCAUCAACAUAAAUUUGGCAUACAAACAAAUCAUUUGCAAGUGUUUUAGUAAAGAGUGUAGGAUCAGCUUUUCCGACUUUGAAGCCAUUAGCAAUAAGAAAAUCUCUUAGGCAUUCAUACCAUGCUCUUGGGGCUUGCUUGAGCCCAUAAAACGCCUUAGAGAGUCUAUAAACAUGGUUAGGAUACUCACUGUCUUCAAAGCCGGGAGGUUGCUCAACAUAGACCUCUUCCUUGAUUGGUCCAUUGAGGAAGGCACUUUUCACGUCCAUUUGAUAAAGCUUGAAGCCAUGAUAAGUAGCAUAGGCAAGUAAAAUGCGAAUUGACUCAAGCCUAGCUACGGGUGCUUAGGUUUCACCGAAAUCCAAACCUUCGACUUGUGAGUAUCCCUUGGCCACAAGUCGGGCUUUGUUCCUUGUCACCACACCAUGCUCGUCCUGUUUGUUGCGGAAGACCCACUUGGUUCCUACAACAUUUUGGUUAGGACGUUGAACUAAAUGUCAUACCUCAUUCCUCGUGAAGUUGUUGAGCUCCUCUUGCAUCGCCAUCACCCAAUCCGAAUCUUGAAGUGCUUCCUCUACCCUAUGUGGCUCAAUAGAGGAAACAAAAGAGUAAUGCUCACAAAAAUGUGCAACACGAGAUCUAGUGGUUACCCCCUUAUGGAUGUCGCCGAGGAUGGUGUUCACGGGGUGAUCUCGUUGGAUUGCUUGAUGGAUUCUUGGGUGUGGCGGUCUUGGAACUUGCUCAUCCUCCUUGUCUUGAUCAUUUGCAUCUCCCCCUUGAUCAUUGUCGUCUUCUUGAGGUGGCUCAUCCUUUUGAUCUUCUUCUUCAUCAUCUUGAGCCUCAUCCUCAUCUAGAGUUGGUGGAGAUGCUUGCAUGGAGGAGGAUGGUUGAUCUUGUGCUUGAAUGGGCUCUUCGGAUUCCUUAGGACACACAUCCCCAAUGGACAUGUUCCUUAGCGCGACGCACGGAGCCUCUUCAUCAUCUAAUUCAUCAAGAUCAACUUGCUCUACUUGAGAGCCAUUAGUCUCAUCAAACACAAUGUCACAAGAAACUUCAACAAGUCCAGUGGACUUGUUAAAGACUCUAUAUGCCCUUGUGUUUGAAUCAUAUCCUAGUAAAAUGCCUUCUACAACCUUAGGAGCAAAUUUGGACUUUCUACCUCUUUUAACAAGUAUAAAACAUUUGCUACCAAAGACUCUAAAAUAUGAAACAUUUGGCUUUUUACUGGUUAGGAGUUCGUAAGAUGUCUUCUUGAGGAUUCGGUGUAGAUACAACCGGUUGAUGGCGUAGCAAGCGGUGUUGACCACCUCGGCCCAAAACCGAUCCGAAGUCUUGUACUCAUCAAGCAUGGUUCUUGCCAUGUCCAAUAGAGUUCUAUUCUUCCUCUCCACUACACCAUUUUGUUGUGGCGUGUAGGGAGAAGAGAACUCAUGCUUGAUGCCCUCCUCCUCAAGGAGGCCUUCGAUUUGCGAAUUCUUGAACUUUGUCCCAUUAUCGCUUCUAAUUUUCUUGAUCCUCAAGCCGAACUCAUUUUGAGCCCGUCUCAAGAAUCCCUUUAAGGUCUCUUGGGUUUGAGAUUUUUCCUGUAAAAAGAAUACCCAAGUGAAGCGAGAAUAGUCAUCCACAAUAACUAGACAGUACUUACUCCCGCCGAUGCUUAUGUAAGCGAUCGGGCCGAAUAGGUCCAUGUGAAGUAAAAAGACAGUUGUAGCCCAUUUUACAUAAUUGGGAAACAGAAAGCAAGUUGUAAUCUAAAGAAUCUACAAGAAAAACAUUGGAAAUAGAAUGGUCAGGUGAUAUAACAAUUUUACCCAAUCCUUUGACCAAACCUUGAUUUUCAUCCCCGAAUGUGAUAGCUCGUUGGGGAUCUUGGUUUUUCUCAUAGGAGGAGAACAUUCUUUUCUCCCCAGUCAUAUGGUUUGUGCACCCGCUGUCGAUGAUCCAACUUGAGCCCCUGGAUGCAUAAACCUACAAAACAAAUUUAGUUCUUGAUUUUAGGUACCCAAACAGUUUUGGGUCCUUUGACAUUAGAUAUAAGAACUUUAGGUACCCAAACACAAGUCUUUGAUCCCUUGUGUUUGUCCCCAACAUACUUGGCAACUAUUUUGCCGGAUUUGUUAGUCAAAACAUAAGAUGCAUCAAAAGUUUUAAAUGAAAUGCUAGGUUCAUUUGAUGCACUAGGAAUUUUCUUCUUAGGCAAUUUUGCAUGGGUUGAUUCCCUAGAACUAGAUGUCUCACUCUUAUACAUAAAAGCAUGAUUAGGACCAGAGUGAGACUUCCUAGAAUGAAUUCUCCUAAUCUUAUGCUCGGGAUAACCGGCAGGGUACAAAAUGUAACCCUCGUUAUCCUGAGGCAUGGGAGCCUUGCCCUUAACAAAGUUAGAUAAUCUUUUAGGAGGGGCAUUAAGUUUGACAUUGUCUCCCUUUUGGAAGCAAUGCCAUCCUUGAUGCCAGGGCGUCUCCCACUAUAAAGCAUACUACGAGCAAAUUUAAAUUUUUCAUUUUAUAGCUCAUGCUCGACAAUUUUAGCAUCUAAUUUUGCUAUAUGAUCAUUUUGUUGUUUAAUUAAAGCCAUGUGAUCAUGAAUAACAUCAAUGUCAACAUCUCUACAUCUAGUGCAAAUGGAAACAUGCUCAACGGUAGAUGUAGAGGGUUUGCAAGAAUUUAAUUCAACAAUCUUAGCAUGUAAUAUGGCAUUUUCAUCUCUAAGAUUGGAAAUGGAAGCAUUGCAAACAUUUAAUUCAUUAGCCUUAGCAAUUAAUUUUUCAUUUUCACUUCUAAGGCUAGCAAGAGAGACAUUUAAUUUUUCAAUCUUAGCAAUAGAAAUAGCAUGAUCAUUUCUAAGAUUGGCAUAUGAAUCAUCACAAACAUUUGAAUCAAUCUUAGCAAUUAAUCUAGCAUUCUCAUUCCUAAGGUUGGCAAUGACAUCAUGGCAAGUGCUUAGCUCACUAGAUAGUUUUUCACAUUUUCCUACUUCUAGAGCAUAAGCAUUUUUAACCUUAACAUGCUUCUUAUUUUCCUUAAUUAGGAAGUCCUCUUGGCUAUCCAAGAGUUCAUCCUUAUCAUGAAUGGUGCUAAUUAAUUCAUUUAACUUCUCCUUUUGUUGCAUGUUAAGAUUGGCAAAAAGAGUAAACAAAUCAUCCUCAUCAUCACUAGAAUUAGCCUCAUCACUAGAGGUGGCAUAUUUAGUGGAGGAUUUAGAUUUAACCUUCUUCUUUUUGCCUUCCUUUGCCAUGAGGCACUUGUGGCCGAAGUUGGGGAAGAGGAGUCCCUUGUUGACGGCGAUGUUGGCGGCGUCCUCGUCGGAGGAGGAGUCGGUGGAGCUCUCGUCGGAGUCCCACUCCCGGCAAAUAUGGGUAUCGCCGCCCUUCUUCUUGUGGUAUCUCUUCUUCUCCUUUCUUCUCCCCUUCUUGUCGUCGCCCCUGUCACUAUCACUAGAAAUAGGACAUUUUGCUAUAAAGUGACCAGGCUUACCACACUUGUAGCAAACCUUCUUGGAGCGGGGCUUGUAGUCCUUCCCCCUCCUUUGCUUGAGGAUUUGUCGAAAGCUUUUGAUGAUUAAAGCCAUCUCCUCAUUGUCGAGCUUUGAGGCGUCGAUGGGGAGCCUACUUGAUGUAGACUCUUCCUUCUUCUCCUUCGUUGCCUUGAAUGCAACGGGUUGUGAUUCGGGCGUGGAGGAGGCACCUUGCUCGAUGAUUUUCUUUGAGCCUUUAAUCAUUAGCUCAAAGCUCACAAACUUCCCUAUAACCUCCUCGGGAGACAUUAGCGUAUAUCUAGGAUCACCUCGAAUUAAUUGAACUUGCGUAGGAUUAAGAAAAACGAGGGAUCUUAGAAUAACCUUGACCAUCUCAUGGUCAUCCCAUUUGGUGCUCCCGAGGUUGCGCACUUGGUUCACCAAGGUCUUCAAGCGGUUGUACAUGGCUUGCGGAUCCUCUCCUUGGUGAAGCAUGAAGCGACCGAGCUCCCCCUCGAUCGUCUCCCGCUUGGUGAUCUUGGUCACCUCGUCUCCUUCGUGCGCGGUCUUGAGCACGUCCCAAAUUUCCUUUGCACUCUUCAACCCUUGCACCUUAUUAUACUCCUCUCGAUUUAGAGAGGCGAGGAGUAUAGUAGUGGCUUGGGAGUUGAAGUGUUGAAUUUGGGCCACUUCGUCCGAAUCAUAGUCCUCAUCCCCUACGGAUGGUACCUGUACACCAAACUCAACAACGUUCCAAAUGCUAGUGUGGAGUGAGGUUAGAUGAUGCCUCAUUUUGUCACUCCACAUAUUAUAAUCUUCACCAUCAAAAACCGGUGGUUUGCCUAGUGGAACGGAAAGUAAAGGAGUACGCUUUGAAAUACGAGGGUAGCAUAGGGGAAUCUUACUAUACUUCUUGCGCUCAUGGCGCUUAGAAGUUAUGGACGACGCGUCGGAGCCGGAGGUGGAUGGCGAUAAAGAAUCGGUCUCGUAGUAGACCACUUUCCUCAUCUUCUUUUUCUUAUCGCCACUCCGAUGCGACUUUUGUGAGGAGGAUUCCUUAUCCUUCCCCCUGUUGCGGGACUCUCCCGAUGGAGCCUUCCCGGGGCUUGUAGCGGGCUUGUCGCCGGUCACCAUCUCCUUCUUGGCGUGAUCUCCCGACAUCACUUCGAGCGGUUAGUCUCUAAUGAAGCACCGGGCUUUGAUAUCAAUUGAAAGUCGCCUAGAGGGGGGGGUGAAUAGGGCGAAACUAAAAUUUAUAAAGUUAAUCACAACUACAAGCCGGGUUAGCAUGUAACACCGCUAGUGUUACUACUACUAAAACUUAAGCAUGACAUCAUAAACAUUGGCAUUGCAUAUGUUUGACACACCUAGAGUGCAUUCACUAGGUAAAAAUUUCAAACAAGUUGUAUUGUUUUGGUGUUUUGCAAAUAGAACCUUGGAAUAGGAUACUUAACCCUAAAUAGGGAUUAAGGGGGUAAAACAUGACCCAAAUUGAGAAAACCCAAAAGCUUUAGUGGAAUGGUCAUAAAAUGCUCCCAAGAAUGAACUUGAAUUACAUUUGUACCCCUGGGAUACCAAAAACCCUAAUUGGAACCCUGGAAAACCCUAAAUCCAAACCCUAGGGGCCUAUGUGCAAAAAUAGUGCACAUUUGGACUAAAGUGUGAAAACUACUAUGUUAAAGCAUAUUAAGUCAUAUGGUUCACAAAAUUAGGGAUUUGCAUGUGAAACCCUAAGUUUUGGGUUUAUUUGCAAAAAGUACCACUUGACCUCUAUAUUGCCUAAGUCUGAAAUAAGUGUUAUGAGCACAACUUUGAGCCCUUGUAACUUUCAAAUUCUAAGGUUUUUGCCCUAGGUCACCACAUCAAACUUGUAGACCUUACAAAGGAGAACAACUUUGCUUAAGAGUGUAAGCAUAGUUGUUAAGAAGAAAUGGGAGAUAAUUAAGUCUAAAGUCUGGCUGUCAGGCUAACUGAACUCUGAACUUUAGACUUACAGUGUAACAGAGCCAUCUUGGACUUGGAUUCAACCUUGAUCUAGUGCUCAACUGAGUUCAAUCCCUAUAAUCGAAAUGUAGCUGGGUUAUAGCUCUGCAACUUUGCUACAGAGAGUUGAGUAAGUUACUAGAGAAAGUUUAGAGAAAUUUGGACCUAAAAACGCUCUGUCAGGUUGUCUGAUGACCCUCGCCAUGGUACAGUAAGCCCCCAAACUGAAGAAGAUCCUGAUUCAUCCCCCCGCUCGUCGCCGGUGAUUCUUCGCCGAGAUUGAUGACGGAUCGCCACGGUUCGUGCACCGUGGGCAGCAGAUAAGCUCGGGCAGGUAAAUAUCUAGCGCCCGGAUUGAGUUGAGCCUCGUGGCAGCUAAGCCCGCCGUACUUCCCUCCCUAGCUCAUCGGUCAAUUGGAUAACCUCACCGCCAUCAAGCUGUCGCCGUUGUGCGCCAUGUGCUUAAGCACUGGUCCUCAUCGUGGUGACUCACUAGGUGCAUGUCCAGUGAUCACCGGAGUAACUGCCACGGUGAAAGCCGCUUAUUCCACGCACAGAGCUCGUCUCUCCUCCGGCCGCCAGCACUACUCGGCCGAAUUCAUCACCGCCGCUCGCUAAGCCUAUAAAUUGAGCACGCCGCAGGCUCCGUAGGGCAGUGAACUAUCCAGCCACCACGAAUUAGCCUCGAUUGUUCGCCGGAGCUCACGAAUUUUGAAGUUCCCCCAAUUCGGGUUUCCGCCACCGUGAAACUUACCUCACCGCGGUCAGCGUGAACCAGGUCAGCCUACGUCUUCUGCUCUCUCGUUUAAAUAUUCUCACCACCCCGUAAUGCUUGCCGAACCACCAAUUUGGACUGAGAGCUCACCAAUCACCUGGAACACGAACGAAUAUCCAUGGUCAUCUCUGUCCUCGCGGGCAGAGCUAGACAGAGCUCUAAUCCUAAAAUUUCUUAGGGGAAAACCAUUAUUAAGACUUGAAUUUGGUGUCCGCCGCUCGUGGGCGCCAGUACUUGCCCCAAUCGGCCGGCCUACGAGCUCACCGGAGCUCGGCCGUGCUCGACGCCGUCGGGGAUCGGGCAGCGUAAAGGAAUAGAACUUCAAGGGCCUUCGUGCAAACUGUCAGUGACUCGAGAAAAUAGUAAGCGAACCCAGUUCUAGUUAGCUAAAACCCUAAGGGUCAUUCUGAAAAGCCGCCAACGCGGGCACGGGCGCGCGCAUUUCCGCGUGGACCUGGGCCGUCUGAGCCGGAUUUGGCCUAGUAAUGUUUCUUCUUUUCUAUUUUCUUUUUCUGUCCAACUUUAGAAAUAUGUUGAAAAUUACAGAAAAAUGGUAAAAAUGCCAAACCAAUUUUUCUAGAUUCCUUAUUUUCCAUAGUAUUUAAUAAAAAUAGUUCCAUGAUUUUUAGAUUAAAUAGGGAAUUUUGGAGUAUUUAAAAUAGCUUAAGAUAUUGAUUCUGGAUUUUUAGAAAAUAGUUAAUAAUUCCAAAAAUGCCCAAAUUUUUUAUAUGAACUCAAAACAUUAUUUAGAAGCCUUGGGUAGAGUUUGGUUUGAAUUGGACCUUGUUUGAUAAUUAGAACCCACAACCCCCACCCCUGCUCUUUGAAUUCCUUUACUGACCCCGGAAACCCUAGUUUUCCGGAGAACCGUGAAGGAAAAUUGUAUUCAAGAACCUUAGAUAAUAAAUUCUUAUUAUCUUUGCACUUUCAUGAGCAUUACAUGGCAUUCAUUCUUAUAUACACAGAUAUAUGGUUCUGUUUAGAAAACGAAGAAGUCGAAAUAACUGAAGAGAAGACACCACCACCACCACCUUCGGAAUCUCAGGCAGGAAACUGUUUCUACCUUGAUAUCUGCGGGUCCGAGCCUGACUCGCCUAUCAACAAAGGCAAGCCCCAGUGCAUUUGCCACCCUCCUUGAUGUUUUUAAAAUCUUUCUCACUUGAUUAAUGCAUUAGGUGAUAGGAGUUGAAUGCUUAAACAAUUCCUGCAUUACCUUCCUCAAACUUGAUUGCCUUCCUUGAAACCCUGUUUUUACAAAAGGUUUUACUAUGCUUAGUAUUGCUCUAGCAAAACAAAAGGUUUUGUUUUACAAAAAUUGAUUGGCAAAGUGGGAAGGAUGUUUUUGAAAAUAAAACUUGAUGGUGGAUCCAUCAUGGCCAUGAUGGAUUCAACAUCGGAAAAGAUGUACCUCUGUCAGGUACCAAUUUUUGGGUUUAAAUGAUUAAGCUGAGACCGGGCGGGUGACUUGCACGAGAAGAGAGUCUCGGUGUAGUGUCUCCGUCUGAGUCGAUUAAGGACCGUGUCGAUGUAGGCUUGAUGACCGAGGACCCUUUAACUGGUCACAUGCCUCGUCAUGGGUAAGCCUUGCCUCGGGCAGACUAAGGCCAGAAUAAGUUAACACGGAAUGGGCGUGGAGCGGUGGCAAGAGUAGCGUGUACCCUCCGUGGCAAGAGGCUAGACAGUGGUGUAUCUGUGCUCUCGGUUCACGUGAACCUGAUCUGGUCUUAAGAACCCCAGUGGCGGGUUGACAUAUGCAAGGGUUAAGUGCUACAUAUGUCGUGUGAUUGGAGAUCCUCAGCUGAGUAUAAUCGAUUCGGAUCGCUGUACCUUCACGGUUAUGAAGACUUGGUCACUGACCUAUACGUAGAACUCCAGUAAAGACAAAGGACUUGUUAAGAAAUUAGCUAGUGCAGGUUAAGCGAUUGAACUAGGUUAGAAAGAACUCUAGAUGCACGUAAUUGUACCUAACUUGACAAUAAAAUUGGAUUUUUAAGGAUCCACUCUUAGUAAGCAUUUAUGCAAAACAGAGUCUUUGAUCAUUAAGAGACCUUACAUUGACUCCCUUAUAACUAGCAUACCCUUGAGAGUCUUUUCUUUAAUCGGGUAAGACUUGCUGAGUAAUUCCAUACUCAGGGUUUCUUUCCCUAUUGUUUUUAGGUGAGGAAGCAACAAACUUUUGUUGCUUUUGUACCAAGGUGGUGUCAAAUGAAGAAAAGCAAGAAUGAAGCUGCGGGAGGAACUAGUCCUCCAUAAAAACUUUUAUGUAAGAACUUAUCGGGAGGAGUUUUACCUCCCUUGGUAUUGUAAUAAUAAGUACUCUGCACUCGUGUUUAUAUGCUGGUCUGUAAUAACCAACUUUAUCUUACUUUCAAAUACAUGUAAGUUAUGUAAUCGCUUCCGCAUUUCUGUAUCUCCGAUGUUCUGUAAUGUCUGUGCGACGGGUGAAACACUCUUGGGAAAGGUAAGAAAAGCAGAUACCGAACUUUUCAAGUAAUUCAGGGGCAUCUACAGGGUUGUCUGAGGUCCGUUGGACAAGGACAUCUAUAGGUGGGCCUAAUAACUUGGGAGGUUCCAUCACAGCUAGUAUCGGAGCGAAGCCCUUCUCUGCAGAUAUUAUGAGGCAUCUUCAAAACGAUUUUCUAAAGACUUAUCUAGAAAAAUUUCUUCCAUUCUUACCCAUUAUAUCUGAAGAAUCUAUAUGAAAGGCCAGAUAGGAAGAGUGCAAUGUAUAGAAGGUAUGAAUCAACUGAGGUUGGUUCUGUAAUUAUACAUGCAUCAUGCUAAGAACUAUACUAAUAAAAUUUCCCCCUUAGAGAAAAGCCACCGCGCACGAGGAAAACCGUGCGCAAGUCAACUGGCCCAAUUGGUGUACCCCGUCAUCAACUCGCUCCCCAACAUGAGGAUAGUAGUAGUGGGAGUAACGAUUCGAUCGGGGAUCUUGAAGCCCAAGUAAAUCAGCUUCAAGCGGAACUUCAACGCAGGACUAACAUAUGGGUCGCGGAUGGUGACAGAAUAAAUGAACUAAGAAGCCACAUCCGCCGCCUGCAGGAUCAGCUCGCUGAUCGAGAUUUAGCGCUCGACUGGGCGGUUUAGUCUCGUUCGCUUGCCUGGGCUAAGGAGGCAAAGGCACGAGCCCGAGUCGAAGAACUUAGCUCAGCUAUUGAUAAUCUGCAGGCAUAUUGCAAUACCCUACAUGAAGAAGUUCAUGUACUGUAUUCGCAAUUGCACCCCAGCGUACCUGCAAAUCCUGUCGGGACAGAAGCCGGACCUUCUCACGAAGCGGGAGAAGCUUUUGGUGGCGAAUUGGACCUUUUUAGGCCCCCUCCCUCCAUGAAGUUGGUCGACAAAUGGUCUCCUACGCCCGACAGUGAAGCUACUAAGAGUGAUAGGAAGUAGGGAUAGUAUAGUUGUAAAAUUAGUAGUGUUAUUGUAUAAUGGGUACUGUACUCCUGUUGUAUAAAUUCGAGUCUGUAACAUUACUCUUUUUAGUAAUGUAAAUUGGAUGAUUUUUCUUUGGCAUAUUAUAUUUGUUUCCAAAUGUUUGUUGCCACAGAUGCCGUCCAAGACCCGAUCAUAGGAUGCAGCCGGAACCUCCAAUGGGAGGGAGUCCACCCCGAAUCCACCUCCAGUCCCUCCCACACUUGCCGAGGCUAUCACCGCCUUGGUAAAUGCAAUAGCGGAUAAUACCCGUUUCCUACGGGAAAUGGCGGGUCAACAAUUUCAGCAACAAUGCGGACGGGGUUAUCCGCAAGGGCCCCGUGAGACAUCCUAUUUAGACUUCUCCGAAACGCGUCCACCGCUGUUUGUCAAAGCCGAAGACCCUUUAGAGGCAGACGAAUGGAUUCGUGUCAUCGAGCAAAAGUUUGGACUUCUGCGAUGUUCUGAAACCCAGAAGCCCUUGUUCGCAGCCCAGCAACUGCGUGGCCCUGCCAGCACUUGGUCGGGAAAUUUUAUGGCCGUUCAACCGGCCAAUCAUCAGAUAACAUGUGAAGAAUUUAAGUUUGCCUUUCGCGAACAUUACAUACCAGAAGGUGUACUUCACAUGAAACAAGAAGAAUUUAUGAAGCUGAAGCAAGGAGGGGAUAUCGUUAAUCAGUAUCUCAAUAAAUUCAAUCAUUUGUCACAGUAUGCGAUCGAUCAAGUUAACACCGAUCUGAAGAAGAAGAAUUGUUUCAUGCGAGGACUGAAUGAUAGGAUGCAAAGAAAAAUGGCUACUUGCAUUGACCUUACCUACGGAAGGGCUGUCAGCACAGCGUUGGCAGUCGAAUCUAAAUAUGCAAGUUCUGGAAAGAUCAAGGGGAGUGGAGGAACAGGCCUACUCAGGGCCCUGAGAAAAGGCAACUGUUUGUUAUCCGGCCUGUUAAUCAGGGUCGUCCCUCAGCACGCCCACCCACCUUUCCAUUUAAGCAACCAGUAUUCAUCCGUCCCAAUACUGCCCCUACAACAACAAGUCAGCCGGGUGCCCCUGGCACUCGAUUCCCUGCCCUUCCCAGUUCAUCGACAGGAUGUUUCAAUUAUGGAAAAUCUGGGCAUUUUAUCAAGGAUUGCCCUUAUCCGAAGCAAAACAAGUCAAACAAUCCACAAGGAUCUGGGAAUUCAUCUCAAGCCAAAGGAAAUACUAUGGGCAAAAAUACAAAGAAGACGGGACGCAUAUAUUAUACGCAAGUGGCCACCGCACCGGAUGGUGAACCGGUCAUGAUGGGUACGUUCCUUGUGGCCAAUCAUCCCGCAAUUAUUCUCUUUGAUUCUGGUGCUUCCCAUACAUUCAUCAGCAAGAAAUUUGUGGAGCAACAUUGCAUUUCUUACCAUGAAUCAAAAGAGGGGUUUAAAAUUCAGUCACCUGGGGGACAAAUCUUUACUAGAGAAGUGGCCUAUCAAGUGCCCGUAACAUUGGUCGGAUGGGACUUUCCUACUAAUAUGAUAGUUCUGAAAGGCCAAGACAUAGAUGUGAUUUUGGGCAUGAAUUGGCUGGCCCGACAUAAAGCAACCCUCAACACUGAUCAGAGAACCAUCAGGUUGAGUCAUAAUCAAGAAGAAAUUCUCUUGUCUAUCCCCAUUCCAACCAAAAUUACUGGCAGAGUUUAUGAAGCCAUUAUACCGGAAGUCAAGGAUAUUCUGGUAGUAUGUGAGUUCCUAGAUGUCUUUCCAGAGGAUUUGCCUGGAUUGCCACCCGAGAGAGAUGUAGAGUUUGUAAUUGAAUUGAAGCCCGGUACGGCUCCCAUUUCUCGAAGAUCGUACCGUAUGCCUCCAAAUGAGCUGGCGGAACUGAAGAUUCAGUUACAAGAUCUACUAUCGAAAGGAUUCGUUCGGCCAAGCUCGUCACCAUGGGGUUGUCCAGCCAUAUUCGUCAAGAAGAAGGAUCAAACUUUACGGAUGUGUGUGAAUUAUCGACCCCUGAAUGAGGUCACUAUCAAGAACAAGUACCCUCUUCCACAAAUUGACAUUCUAUUCGAUCAAUUGACUGGAGUGAGGGUAUUCUCCAAGAUUGAUCUCAGAUCGGGCUAUCAUCAGAUCCGUAUUCGGCCCGAGGAUAUACCAAAAACUGCAUUCACUACGCGGUACGGAUUAUUUGAAUACCUGGUAAUGUCUUUCGGACUGACGAAUGCUCCUGCCCACUUCACUUAUCUGAUGAACUCGGUAUUCAUGCCUGAGUUGGACAAAUUUGUGGUGGUCUUCAUAGAUGAUAUUUUGAUAUAUUCAAAGAAUGAAGAGGAGCAUGCUCAACAUUUACGGGUCGUAUUAAUGCGCUUGAGAGAACAUCAAUUAUAUGCCAAGUUCAGUAAGUGCGCAUUUUGGCUGGAAAAAAUUCAAUUUCUGGGACAUGAUCUAUCUGCCAGGGGGAUUGCGGUAGAUCCCAACAAAGUCAAGGACAUUUUGGAGUGGAAACCCCCAACCACUGUUCACCAAGUCUGAAGUUUCCUUGGACUGGCUGGUUAUUACCACCGAUUUAUACCUGAUUUUUCUAAACUUGUGAAGCCAAUCACAAGUCUAUUGAAGAAUGAGACUAAAUUCAAUUGGUCUUCAAAGUGUAAUGAAGCUUUUGAGAAAUUGAAGACAUUAUUAACCACUGCUCCAGUAUUGGCUCAACCGGAUAUUAACAAGCCAUUUGAUGUGUAUUGUGACGCAUCUGGCAGUGGUCUCGGUUGUGUAUUAAUGCAAGAAGGCCGAGUAAUUGCGUAUGCUUCAAGGCAGUUACGCCGGCAUGAGGAACAUUAUCCUACUCAUGAUCUGGAGCUAGCUGCAGUGGUUCAUGCUCUGAAGAUCUGGGGUCAUUAUCUGCUGGGUAAUAUCUGUCACAUUUAUACAGAUCAUAAAAGCUUGAAAUACAUCUUUACCCAGUCUGAACUCAAUAUGAGACAAAGAAGAUGGCUCGAGCUAAUCAAGGAUUAUGAAUUGGAGAUCCAUUAUCACCCAGGCAAAGCAAAUGUAGUGGCAGAUGCACUCAGUCGCAAGGCUUCCUGCCAUUGUCUAACUAUGGGGACUUCUGACAUUACGUUAUGCCAGGAGAUGGAGAAUCUAAACCUGGGUAUGAUUAAACAUGGGACUUCAAAUCACUUGAAGCUGGAGUCAGUCAUCUUACAAAGGAUAAUUGACGCACAGAAAAAUGAUGAGGGUGUGAAACACAUACGUGAAAAGAUAAAGGCUGGAAAAGCCAAUUGCUUCCAAAAAGAUAAUCAAGGUGUGGUAUGGUUUAAUAACCGCAUAGUGGUGCCGAAGAAUGAAGAGCUCCGCCAGCAAAUUUUAGAUGAAGCACAUCUUAGUCGCUAUUCUAUUCAUCCCGGAAGCACUAAGAUGUAUCAAGAUUUGAAACAACAUUAUUGGUGGACGAAGAUGAAGAUCGAGAUUGCACGCUAUGUGGCUAGAUGUGACACUUGCAAGCGUGUCAAGGCCAUACACCUAAAAGCUACCGGUCCAUUACAAUCUCUACCAAUACCAACAUGGAAAUGGGAAGAUAUAAGUAUGGACUUUAUUAUGGGAUUGCCCAGGACCGCAAAGGGAUAUGACUCUAUCUGGGUUAUUGUUGAUCGGCUCACAAAAAUUGCUCACUUUCUGCCAGUUAAAACAUAUUACCCAGUUCUUACCUAUGCGGAAUUAUACAUUGCUCGCAUUCUCAGUUUGCACGGUAUUCCGAAGACUAUAGUGUCGGAUCGUGGACCUCAAUUCGUAUCCAAAUUUUGGGAAGAACUUCAUAAAUCUCUGGGUACUAAAUUGCUCCACAGUUCGGCCUAUCAUCCUCAAACGAGUGGACAAACUGAGAGGGUCAAUCAAAUACUGGAAGAUAUGCUGCGGGCAUGUGUGCUGGAAUUCCUACAGAAAUGGGAUGAAUGUUUGCCGUUAGCGGAAUUCUCAUAUAAUAAUAGCUAUCAAGAAAGCAUCAAGAUGGCACCCUUCGAAGCUUUAUAUGGACGACGAUGUCGUACUCCGCUAAAUUGGUCUGAACCAGGUGAAAGGUACUUCUUCAGGCCUAACCUGGUAAAGGAAACUGAAGAUAAAGUUCAGAAAAUAAUACAUAACUUGAAGAAAGCUCAAACCCGUCAAAAGAAUUAUGCAGACCGGCGACGACAACCCUUAUACUUUCUAGUAGGAGAUUAUGUCUACUUGAAGGUUUCUCUAAUGAAGGGUGUAUCUUGUUUUGGGGUUAAAGGAAAGCUUGCACCUCGGUACAUUGGUACAUUCCCUAUACUUGAGCAAUGUGGACCAGUGACAUACCGACUCCAAUUACCCGAAACUUUGUCUGUUGUGCAUAAUGUGUUCCACGUGUCUCAACUGAAGAAGUGUCUUCGGGUUCCAGAUCGGACUAUCAAAGUGACAUAUGUUGUCCUUAAGCCAGACUUGACAUAUUCUGAACAUCCUAUUCGAGUCUUGGAUCAAAAGGACAAAAUUACCCAAAGAAAAACUCUCAAGUUUUACAAGAUACAGUGGAACUAACAUUCCGAAGAUGAGGCUACAUGGGAAACUCAAGACUUUUUAGAUAAUAAUUUCCCAGGCUUUUUAGCCUCUUGUAAUUUGUAAAGUAUACAACAUUGUUGUAAUAAAGGAGUGAGCCCCAAACCCACCCCUGCCUUGUACCAAAAAUAAGGAAAUAAAAAUGUGAAGCAUUUCCUUUUCCAUUACCUACCCUAGGACUUUUAAUCUUGGGACGAGAUUCUUUUAUGGGGGGAAGGAUGUAACACCCCUGGUGUUACUGCUACUAAAACUUGAGCAUGACAUCAUAAACAUUGGCAUUGCAUAUGUUUGACACACCUAGAGUGCAUUCACUAGGUAAAAAUUUCAAACAAGUUGUAUUGUUUUGGUGUUUUGCAAAUAGAACCCUGGAAUAGGAUACUUAACCCUAAAUAGGGAUUAAGGGGGUAAAACAUGACCCAAAUUGAGAAAACCCAAAAGCUUUAGUGUAAUGGUCAUAAAAUGCUCCCAAGAAUGAACUUGAAUUACAUUUGUACCCCUGGGAUACCAAAAACCCUAAUUGGAACCCUGGAAAACCUUGAAUCCAAACCCUAGGGGCCUAUGUGCAAAAAUAGUGCACAUUUGGACUAAAGUGUGAAAACUACUAUGUUAAAGCAUAUUAAGUCAUAUGGUUCACCAAAUUAGGGAUUUGCAAGUGAAACCCUAAGUUUUGGGUUUAUUUGCAAAAAGUACCACUUGACCUCUAUAUUGCCUAAGUCUGAAAUAAGUGUUAUGAGCACAAAUUUGAGCCCUUGUAACUUUCAAAUUCUAAGGUUUUUGCCCUAGGUCACCACAUCAAACUUGUAGACCUUACAAAGGAGAACAACUUUGCUUAAGAGUGUAAGCAUAGUUGUUAAGAAGAAAUGGGAGAUAAUUAAGUCUAAAGUCUGGCUGUCAAGCUAACUGAACUCUGAACUUCAGACUUACAGUGUAAUAGAGCCAUCUUGGACUUGGAUUCAACCUUGAUCUAGUGCUCAACUGAGUUCAAUCCCUAUAAUCGAAAUGUAGCUGGGUUAUAGCUCUGCAACUUUGCUACAGAGAGUUGAGUAAGUUACUAGAGAAAGUUUAGAGAAAUUUGGACCUAAAAACGCUCUGUCAGGUUGUCUGAUGACCCUCGCCAUGGUACAGUAAGCCCCCAAACUGAAGAAGAUCCCGAUUCAUCCCCCCGCUCGUCGCCGGUGAUUCUUUGCCGAGAUUGAUGACGGAUCGCCACGGUUCGUGCACCGUGGGCAGCCGAUAAGCUCGGGCAGGUAAAUAUCUAGCACCCGGAUUGAGUUGAGCCUCGUGGCGGCUAAGCCCGCCGUACUUCCCUCCCCAGCUCAUCGGCCAAUUGGAUAACCUCGCCGCCGUCGAGCUGUCGCCGUUGUGUGCCACGUGCUUAAGCACUGGUCCUCAUCGUGGUGACUCACUGGGUGCAUGUCCAGUGAUCACCGGAGUAACUGCCACGGUGAAAGCCGCUUAUUCCACGCACAGAGCUCGUGUCUCCUCCGGCCGCCAGCACUGCUCGGCCGAAUUCAUCACCGCCGCUCGCUAAGCCUAUAAAUUGAGCACGCUGCGGGCUCCGUAGGGCAGUGAACUAUCCAGCCACCAUGAAUUAGCCUCGAUUGUUCGUCGGAGCUCACGAAUUUUGAAGUUCCCCCAAUUCGUGUUUCCGCCACCGUGAAACUAGCCUCACUGCGGUCAGCGUGAACCAGGUCAGCCUACGUCUUCUGCUCCCUCGUUUGAAUAUUCUCACCACCCCGUAAUGCUUGCCAAACCACCAAUUUGGACUGAGAGCUCACCAAUCACCGGGAACACGAACGAAUAUCCAUGGUCAUCUCUGUCCUCGCGGGCAGAGCUAGACAGAGCUCUAAUCCUAAAAUUUCUUGGGGGAAAACCAUUAUUAAGACUUGAAUUUGGUGUCCGCCGCUCGGGGGCGCCAGUACUUGCCCCAAUCGGCCGGCCUACGAGCUCGCCAAAGCUCGUCCGCGCUCGACGUCGUCGGGGAUCGGGCAGCGUAAAGGAAUAGAACUUCAAGGGCCUUCGUGCAAACUGUCAGUGACUCGAGAAAAUAGUAAGCGAACCCAGUUCUAGUUAGCCAAAACCCUAAGGGUCUUUCUGAAAAGCCGCCAGCGCGGGCGCGCGCAUUUCCGCGUGGACCUGGGCCGUCUGAGCCGGAUUUGGCCCAGUACUGUUUCUUCUUUUCUAUUUUCUUUUUCUGUCCAACUUUAGAAAUAUGUUGAAAAUUACAGAAAAAAUGGUAAAAAUGCCAAACCAAUUUUUCUAGAUUCCUUAUUUUUCAUAGUAUUUAAUAAAAAUAGUUCCAUGAUUUUUAGAUUAAAUAGGUAAUUUUGGAGUAUUUAAAAUAGCUUAAGAUAUUGAUUCUGGAUUUUUAGAAAAUAGUUAAUAAUUCCAAAAAUGCCCAAAUUUUUUAUAUGAACUCAAAACAUUAUUUAGAAGCCUUGGGUAGAGUUUGGUUUGAAUUGGACCUUGUUUGAUAAUUAGAACCCACAACCCCCACCCCUGCUCUUUGAAUUCCUUUACUGACCCCGGAAACCCUAGUUUUCCGGAGAACCGUGAAGGAAAAUUGUAUUCAAGAACCUUAGAUAAUAAAUUCUUAUUAUCUUUGCACUUUCAUGAGCAUUACAUGGCAUUCAUUCUUAUAUACACAAAUAUAUGGUUCUGUUUAGAAAACGAAGAAGAAGUCGAAAUAACCGAAGAGAAGACACCACCACCACCACCUUCGGAAUCUCAGGCAGGAAACUGUUUCUACCUUGAUAUCUGCGGGGCCGAGCCUGACUCACCUAUCAAUGAAGGCAAGCCCCAGUGCAUUUGCCACCCUCCUUGAUGUUUUUAAAAUCUUUCUCACUUGAUUAAUGCAUUAGGUGAUAGGAGUUGAAUGCUUAAACAAUUCCUGCAUUACCUUCCUUGAACUUGAUUACCUUCCUUGAAACCCUGUUUUUACAAAAGGUUUUACUAUGCUUAGUAUUGCUCUAGCAAAACAAAAGGUUUUGUUUUACAAAAAUUGAUUGGCAAAGUGGGAAGGAUGUUUUUGAAAAUAAAACUUGAUGGUGGAUCCAUCAUGGCCAUGAUGGAUUCAACAUCGGAAAAGAUGUACCUCUGUCAGGUACCAAUUUUUGGGUUUAAAUGAUUAAGCUGAGACCGGGCGAGUGACUUGCACGAGAAGAGAGUCUCGGUGUAGUGUCUCCGUCUGAGUCAAUUAAGGACCGUGUCGAUAUAGGCUUGAUGACCGAGGACCCUUUAACUGGUCACAUGUCUCGUCAUGGGUAAGCCUUGCCUCGGGUAGACUAAGGCCAGAAUAAGAUAACACGGAAUGGGCGUGGAGCGGUGGCGAGAGUAGCGUGUACCCUCCGUGGCAAGAGGCUGGACGGUGGUGUAUCUGUGCUCUCGGUUCACGUGAACCUGAUCUGGUCUUAAGAACCCCGGUGGCGGGUUGAUAUAUGCAAGGGUUAAGUGCUACAUAUGUUGUGUGAUUGGAGAUCCUCAGCUGAGUAUAAUCGAUUCGGAUCGCCAUACCUUCGCGGUUAUGAAGACUUGGUCACUGACCUAUACGUAGAACUCCAGUAAAGACAAAGGACUUGUUAAGAAAUUGGCUAGUGCAGGUUAAGUGAUUGAACUAGGUUAGAAAGAACUCUAGAUGCACGUAAUUGUACCUAACUUGACAAUAAUAUUGGAUUUUUAAGGAUCCACUCUUAGUAAGCAUUUAUGCAAAACAAAGUCUUUGAUCAUUGAGAGACCUUACCUUGACUCCCUUAUAACUAGCAUAUCCUUGAGAGUCUUUUCUUUAAUCGGGUAAGACUUGCUGAGUAAUUCCAUACUCAGGGUUUCUUUCCCUAUUGUUUUUAGGUGAGGAAGCAACAAACUUUUGUUGCUUUUGUACCAAGGUGGUGUCAAAUGAAGAAAAGCAAGAAUGAAGCUGCGGGAGGAACUAGUCCUCCAUAAAAACUUUUAUGUAAGAACUUAUCGGGAGGAGUUUUACCUCCCUUGGUAUUGUAAUAAUAAGUACUCUGCACUCGUGUUUAUAUGCGGGUCUGUAAUAACCAACUUUAUCUUACUUUCAAAUACAUGUAAGUUAUGUAAUCGCUUCCGCAUUUCUGUAUCUCCGAUGUUCUGUAAUGUCUGCGUGACAGGUGAAACGCUCUUGGGAAAGGUAAGAAAAGCAGAUACCAAACUUUUCAAGUAAUUCAGGGGCAUCUACAGGGUUGUCUGAGGUCCGUUGGACAAGGACAACUGUAGGUGGGCCUAAUAACUUGGGAGGUUCCGUCACAUAGCGUUAGAAAUAUAAGCGAGUCCGAGGGAGAGGGUGAAAAACAAAUCGCAAGCAAAUAAAGAGUGAGACACAAGGAUUUGUUUUACCGAGGUUCGAUUCUUGCAAACCUACUCCCCGUUGAGGUGGUCACAAAGACCGGGUCUCUUUCAACCCUUUCCCUCUCUCAAACGGUCACUUAGACCGAGUGAGCUUCUCUUCUCAAUCACACGGGACACUAAGUCCCCGCAAGGACCACCACACAAUUGGUGUCUCUUGCCUCGGUUACAAUUGAGUGAAUCAAUGAGAAAGAAAAGAAGCAAUCCAAGCGCAAGAGCUCAAAUGAACACAAAUGUCACUCUCUCUAGUCACUAUUUGAUUUGGAGUGAUUCCGGACUUGGGAGAGGAUUUGAUCUCUUUGGUUGUGUCUAGAAUUGAAUGCUAUAGCUCUGGUAAUGUGUUGGAAGGUGGAAAACUUGGAUGCAAUGAAUGGUAGGGUGGUUGGGGUAUUUAUAGCCCCAACCACCAAACUAGCCGUUUGGUGGAGGCUGCUGUCGAAUGGCGCGCCGGAUAGUCCGGUGCGCCACCGGACACUGUCCGGUGCGCCAGCCACGUCACCCGGCCAUUAGGGUUCGACCGUUGGAGCUCUGACAGGUGGGGUCUUCUGGCUGUCCGGUGCUACACCGGACAAGUACUGUAGACAGUCCGGUGUGCCUUCUGACGCUGCUCUGACUCUGGCGCGCACUGUAGCGCAUUGAAUGUGGUUGCAGUCGACCGUUGGCGCUGAAGUAGCCGUUGCUUCGCUGACACACCGGACAGUCCGGUGCGCCACCGGACACUGUCCGGUGCCUCAUCAGACAGUCCGGUGAAUUAUAGCGGAGCACCCUCUGAUUUUCCCGAAGGUGACGAGUUUGGAGCUGAGUUCCCUGGUACACCGGACACUGUCUGGUGGCGCACCGGACAGUCCGGUGCGCCAGACCAGGGCACACUUCGGUUGUCUUUUGCUCUCUUUGUUUGAACCCUUUCUUGGUCGUUUUAUUGGUCUAUUGUGAACCUUUGGCACAUGUAAAACUUAUAAUCUAGAGCAAACUAGUUAGUCCAAUUAUUUGUGUUGGGCAAUUCAACCACCAAAAUCAAUUAGGAAAAGGUGUAAGCCUAUUUCCCUUUCACUUCUCCUUCCAGUGACCUUGUUCACUUUUUGAGCUUGAUCUUGAGCCUUAUGACUUACACCACAUAAUUGUAGAUGUUACCUCAUUGGUUGUAUGUCAUGUCCUUAUGUAGUGUUCCUUGAUGCACUAUAACUCUUCUUAACUCGAUCAACCUUGAUUCCGCAAGUCUUCUUCUUCACCCCUGGCCUUGGGUUCCUGAUCUCUUUGACUUUCUCCCAUGCACUCGGUACCUCGAAGCUCUUCUUGCUUCCAUCCUUGGCUUGAUUGGUUGUCUCCAAGUUAUGCACAUCAAGUCUCACUUAGGCAAUGUCCAUCUUUCUUGUGAUGUCCAUUAUCUAGAGAUAAUUCCGUCUUUGGACCAUCACACCUGUUAACUUGUGUUGAACCCUGUUAGCUUUGCAUUCAGCACACUUGUUAGUCCUUUAAUUGGGUUGUCAUCUAAACACCAAAACCCACAAGAAAGCUUUCACUACUACUGUUUACCAUGCUUGCAAUGCUUCCUUUGUGCUUUUAUGCAAGAAUGCAAAAGUAGUUGCUAGGAAAUUGGAAUCCAAAUGCAAGGGAGACAGAACUUGCAUAUGGGUUCCAAACAAUGUUGUGACUAACCUGGUAGGACCCAACAAGAGUUGGGUACCUAAAACCCAAGCUUAAUUUCCUUGCAGGUUUAUGCAACCGGGGGGCUCAAGCUAGAUUAUCGACAGCGGAUGCACGAACCACAUGAUGAGGGAGAAUAAAAUGUUCACCUCCUACGUCAAAAACAAGGAUUCCCAGGAUACGAUCAUCUUUGGAGAUGAGAAUCAAGGCAAGGUCAAAGGAUUGAGAAAGAUAGCCAUCACAUCCGAGCAUUCUAUCUCUAAUGUGUUUUUAGUCGAAUCGCUCGGGUAUAAUUUGUUGUCUGUGAGUCAAUUAUGUAACAUGGGUUAUAAUUGUUUAUUCACAAAUGUAUCUGUCUUUAGAAGAAGUGAUGGUUCAUUAGCCUUAAAGGGUGUACUAGAUGACAAGCUCUAUUUAGUUGAUUUUUCGAAAGAGAAUGCCAAUCUAGAUGCAUGCUUAAUAACUAAGACUAAUAUGGGCUAGCUCUGGCAUCGCCGUCUAGCACAUGUUGGGAUGAAGAACCUUCAUAAGCUUCUAAAAAGAGAUCAUGUGUUAGGACUAACCGAUGUCUAUUUUGAGAAAGACAGACCUUGUGCAGCGUGCCAAGCAGGGAAACAGGUGGGAAGCACUCAUCACAGCAAGAAUGUGAUGACGACAUCAAGACCACUGGAGCUUCUUCACAUGGAUCUCUUCGGACCCGUUGCAUACCUCAGCAUCGGGGGAAGUAAGUAUGGUCUUGUAAUUGUCAAUGAUUUUUCCCGCUUCACUUGGGUGUUCUUUUUGCAGGACAAAUCAAAAACCCAAGGGACCCUAAAGCACUUCUUAAGGAGAGCUCAAAAUGAGUUUGAGCUCAAGGUGAAGAAGAUAAGAAGCAACAAUGGGUCCAAGUUCAAGAAUCUACAAGUUGAAGAGUUUCUUGAGGAGGAAGGCAUCAAGCACAAGUUCUCCGCUCCCUACACACCACAACAAAAUGGUGUGGUAGAGAGGAAUAACAGGACGUUAAUCGACAUGGCGAGAACGAUGCUUGGAGAGUACAAGACGCCUGAGCGGUUUUGGUCAGAAGCUGUGAACACAGCUUGCCAUGCCAUAAAUCGGCUCUACCUGCACCGUCUCCUCAAGAAGACUUCCUACGAACUCCUUACUGGUAACAAACCGAAUGUUUCUUAUUUUCGUGUAUUUGGGAGCAAAUGCUACAUUUUGGUGAAGAAAGGUAGACAUUUGAAAUUUGCUCCCAAGGCAGUAGAAGGUUUCUUACUAGGAUAUGACUCAAAUACAAAGGCGUAUAGGGUCUUUAACAAAUCAUCGGGAUUGGUUGAAGUCUCUAGCGAUGUUGUAUUUGAUGAGACUAAUGGCUCUCCAAGAGAGCAAGUUGAUCUUGAUGAUAUAGAUGAAGAAGAAGUUCUGACGGCCACAAUGCACACGAUAGCGAUAGGUGAUGUGUGACCACAGGAACUACAAGAACAAGAUCAACCAUCCUCCUCGAUAAUGGUGCAUCCCCCAACUCAGACGAUGUACAGGUACCUCAAGAAGAGGGGCAGGAUCAAGGGGGAGCACAAGAAGAACAAGUUAUGGAGGAAGAAGCACCACGGGCCCCUCCAACUCAAGUCCGAGCAACGAUCCAAAGACAUCACCCCGUCGAUCAGAUUCUGGGUGACAUCAGCAAGGGAGUAACUACUCGCUUACGAUUAGCAAAUUUUUGUGAGCAUUACUCAUUUGUCUCUUCUAUUGAGCCUUUUAGGGUAGAAGAGGCCUUGCAGGAUGCGGACUGGGUGUUGGCCAUGUAGGAAGAGCUCAACAACUUCAAACAGAAUGAAGUCUGGAGCCUGGUGCCACGUCUAAAGCAAAACGUUGUGGAAACCAAGUGGGUGUUUCACAAUAAGCAAGACAAGCAUGGAGUGGUGAUAAGAAACAAGACUCGACUUGUGGCAAAAGGUUAUGCCCAAGUCGUAGGUUUGGAUUUUGAGGAGACUUUUGCUCCUGUGGCUAGGCUAGAGUCAAUUCGGAUAUUAUUAGCCUAUGCUACUCACCAUUCCUUUAGGUUGUUCCAAAUGGAUGUGAAGAGCGCUUUCCUCAAUGGGCCAAUCAAGGAGGAGGUAUACGUGGAACAACCCCCUGGCUUUGAGGAUGACAGGUAUCCCGACCAUGUAUAUAAGCUCUCUAAGGCGCUCUAUGGACUUAAGCAUGCCCCAAGAGCAUGGUAUGAAUGCCUUAGAGAUUUCCUUAUUUCUAAUGCUUUCAAGGUUGGGAAAGCCGAUCCCACUCUUUUCAUAAAGACAUGCAAUGGUGAUCUUUUUGUUUGCCAAAUUUAUGUCGAUGACAUAAUAUUUGGUUCUACUAACUGUUGGGACCACGCUUCGUCGCCGAAGGUCCUGCAGAAAGAAACAGCUUCGGCUGAAGCCGCUUGUACGUGACGCCGAAGGCAUCAUUCAUGAAGCUUCGGUAUUAUAACAUAUCCGAAGAUGAAGGGUCGAACCGACUUAAAGAUGGAAUGACCUUUUAGCUCAUAGGGGUCUGAGUCAUUGUUGUAAACUUUUAUGAGGGGCAUGAUUGUAAUUCUUCACAGGCUGUGUCCUGUGCCUAUAAAUAGUGAACAAUAUUCCUUUACUGUUCACGCAUUCCUGUAAUUGCCGACGCAUCACACUGGAAUUAUUGUUUUCCGUCAAGGAAAAGGUAUAAAUGUACCCUAAUAUCAUGUUUUAAUAUUCAGAUCCAUAUAAUGAAAUAUACGAAUAAUGUUAUCUGUUUCUGACAUAUGUUUUACAUGUUAUACUUCAUUUUACAUUAUUAUAUAAGUUUAAUCACGAAGGUAUGACCUUCGUGAUAUUUUGCUCGUAACCUUCGUCCGGAGUUCAUUAAAUCCUUGGGGAGAUAAUGCUUCAGCGGACGAAGGGCAUUAACAUUUAACAUUUUUAUGUUGCCUUGUUCUUAAUUCAUAGCAUUUGAGAACAAGUCCCCAACAUUGGCGCCCACCUCCGGUCAACACACUUCCACUUUUUUGAGCUGAUGGCUUCGUUCAACGAUCAAGCUGGAGCUGCUUCGGUCCCGAAGCUGGUACUCCCGAUAACAGGCGGUUCAUGCUCAGAGCCAGCCAACAAGAAGCAGAAGAAGGAAGCACAGAGAAGGGUACAGCACGUCGGGGUGCAAGGACCCUUCAUCAAGUCAAGAUGGUCUCACAUUCCAAUUACCUUCUCCCAAGAGGAUCUUCAACUCAAGGAUUACCCACACAAUGAUGCUAUGGUUAUCUCUUGUGUGAUCAAAGGAUUUCUGGUCCAUAAUGUUCUGGUUGAUACAGGCAGCGCAACUGAUAUCAUAUUUGCUAAAGCUUUCAGACAAAUGCAAGAGCCCGAAGACAAGAUCCAUGAUGCUACGCACCCUCUUUGUGGCUUCGGAGGACGGCAAAUUGUAGCACUUGGGAAGAUCACCAUGCCAGUAACCUUCGGGUUUGUUAACAAUACAAGGACUGAGCAAAUUGUGUUUGACAUUGUUGACAUGGAGUAUCCUUACAAUGCUAUCAUUGGUCGUGGUACUCUCAAUGCCUUCGAAGCAAUUCUUCAUCCAGCUUACCUUUGCAUGAAGGUACCUUCGGACCAAGGGCCCAUCGCUAUUCAUGGAAGUCAGGAAGCUGCCAGAAGGGCCGAAGGAAAUUGGACAGAUUCAAAAGCGAUCCAUAACAUAGAUGGAGCUGAAGCUUGUGAGCAGUACAAGUUCAGAAGGGAAAAGCUGCUUCGGUUGAUCAGCCGAAACCCAUGCUCUUAUGUGAGGACAUAGCAGAGCAGAAGGUGCUAUUGGGAUCUCAAUUGUCCGAAGAACAGGAGAAAACCUUGAUACGGUUUUUGUUCAACAAUAAAGAUGUUUUUGCUUGGUCAGCUAAUGAUCUUUGCGGAGUUAACAGGGAUGUUAUUGAGCACUCGCUCAAUGUUGACCCAUCUUUCAGACCCAGAAAGCAGAGACUUCGGAAGAUGUCUGAUGACAAGGCCGAAGGUGCUCGGAAUGAAGUGAAAAGACUCCUCAGUGCUGGAGUUAUUAGAGAGGUAAAAUACCCAGAAUGGUUGGCUAACACUGUUAUGGUGAAGAAGGCCAAUGGUAAAUGGAGAAUGUGUAUCGAUUUUACUGAUCUCAAUAAGGCCUGUCCGAAGGACGAGUUUCCAUUGCCAAGGAUAGAUUCUUUGGUUGAUGCAGCAGCUUCUUUAGAGCUUAUGAGUCUGUUGGAUUGUUAUUCAGGCUAUCAUCAAAUCUGGAUGAAGAAGGAGGAUGAACCGAAGACCAGCUUCAUAACCCCUAGUGGAACAUAUUGUUACCUUCGGAUGCCUGAGGGGCUUAAGAAUGCUGGAGGAAGCUUCAGCAGAAUGACAGCGAAGGUUCUCCAUUCUCAGAUAGGCAGGAAUGUGCUAACUUAUGUUGAUGAUAUCAUUGUAAAAAGCACGAAGCAAGAUAAUCACAUUGCUGAUCUGCAGGAGACCUUCGCUAAUUUUAGACAGGCUGGUUUAAAGCUAAACCCAGAAAAUGUGUCUUCGGAGUGAAGAAGGGGAAAUUUCUUGGUUGCCUAGUUUCAACAAAAGGAAUUGAGGUUAAUCCAAACAAAAUCGAAGCUAUCCUUCGAAUGGAACCACCAAGUACGAAGAAAGGGGCUCAAAGAUUGAUAGGAAGACUGGCAUCUCUCAACAGAUUCAUAUCCAGAUCAGCAGAGAGAAAUUUGCCAUUUUUCGAAGUGCUGAAGUCAGCUGAAGUUUUUCAGUGGGGACCAGUCCAGCAGAAAGCCUUUGAAGAGCUGAAGCAAUAUUUAAUAGAUCUAACAACAUUAACUCCACCAACGCCAGGGGCUCCUUUGUUAUUAUAUGUGGCAGCUUCGCACUCAGCGGUAAGUGCAGCGCUUGUUCAAGAGAAGCUUGAAGGUCAAGUCAAAAAGCAGGCCCCAAUAUACUUUGUGUCCGAAGUUCUUAGUUUAUCAAAGAAAAAUUAUACAGAAUUGGAGAAGGUACGGUAUGCUGUUUUGAUGGCCUCCAGGAAGCUUCGACAUUAUUUUCAAGCUUACAACAUAAUUGUUCCUUCUUCACAACCUUUGAAGGAUAUUAUAAGAAACCGAGAAGCUACUGGAAGGAUUGGAAAAUGGGCUGCAGAGCUCAAUGAAUUUUGUAUUGAUUAUGUUCAUAGAUCUUCGAUUCAGUCCCAAGCGUUGGCAGACUUCAUUGCUGACUGGACGCCAGGAGCUCAGGAAGAAGAAAUGAAUAAAGAUGCUGAAGCAUGGACAGUGUUCUGUGAUGGGUCUUGGGGAACCUUCGGAGCAGGAGCAGCUGCUGUGUUGGUUUCACCUUCCAAAGUUAGAACUUGUUAUGCGGCAAGACUUGAUUUCAGUUGCACAAAUAAUAUUGCUGAGUACGAAGCUCUGUUCUUGGGUCUUCGGAAAUUAAAGGCAAUGGGGAUCAGAAGGGCUAUUCUUAAAACUGACUCCCAAGUUAUUUCUGGUCAUAUUGACAAGAGCUAUAAAGCAAGAGAUCCGAAGCUUGAAAAAUAUCUAGAUACAGUCCGAAGGAUUGAGGCUUCCUUUGAAGGAUUCUCUGUCAAAAAUAUUCCUCGCGGAGAAAAUGAAUAUGCUGAUUUGUUAGCCAAGUCAGCGGCACAGGGGCUGCCUUUACCUUCGGAUGUAUUUUUUGAAACAAUAAAAGCACCUUCGGUUGAGCUUCUCGAAAGAGCGGUCCUCAACAUAUCCCCUGUCUAUAGUGAAGAUUGGAGAACUGAAAUCAUCUCUUUCCUUCAGGGUAAUUUUCUUUUGGAUGACAAAGCUUACAACAGAAGGAUAGAAGCAAGAGCUCGACCAUAUGUUAUUAUAGAAGGGGAAUUAUAUAAGCGUGGGGUCUGUUCCCCGUUACUCAAGUGUUUGUCCAGAGCCGAAGGUAUAGAAUUGAUGAAGGAAAUACAUGCAGGCCUGUGUGGAUCUCAUAUCGGAUUUAGGCCUUUGUUGGGAAAAGUUUUUCGCCAAGGAUUUUAUUGGCCAAAAGCAGCUUCGGAUGCAGCGGAACUAGUGCAAAAGUGCGAAGGUUGUCAGAAAUGUGCAAGAGAUCAAAAACAACCUUCGUCUCUAACUCAGUUAAUACAACCCACUUGGCCGUUACAAAGGUGGGGCCUUGAUUUGUUAGAUCCGCUACCACCAGCACAAGGAAAUUUAAGAUAUGUUGUAGUGGCAGUGGAAUAUUUUUCUAAGUGGAUUGAGGCAAAGCCUUUAGCCACAAUAACUUCGGUCACCGUCCAAAAGUUUUUCUGGCAAAACAUUGUUUGUCGCUUCGGAGUGCCGAAGGCCAUUACUGUGGACAAUGGAAUGCAGUUUGACUCCGAAGUUUUCAAAGAGUUUUGUGACCAAAUUGGCACGAAGAUCCAUUUUGUGUCAGUUCGGCAUCCAGAAUCAAAUGGACUAGUCGAAAGAGCCAAUGGGAUCAUAAUGACAGGAAUAAUGAAGUCAAUCUUCAAUCAGCCCAGGGGAAGUGGCCAGAAGAAUUAAUCAAAGUGGUGUGGAGCCAUAACACAACAGUGUCAAGAUCAAUAGGCUUUACGCCAUUUAAACUAUUGUUCGGCGACGAAGCAAUAACACCGGAAGAAGCCAAAGCAGGAUCUAUAAGAACAAUAGCUUCGGCAGAAGGCGAAGAUGAAGCUGAUUGCUCUAUGGAAAAGGAUGCUAUAGAGGGGAUCAGGCUUCAGGUUGUGGAAAACAUCAAUAAAUACCAAGCCGAAACAAUAAAAUGGCGUGACAGAAAGGUUCGGUUGAAGAACAUCAAGCCAGGACAUUUGGUGCUUCGGAGAGUGGCCAACCCAGACACAGUAGGAAAACUACAGCUGAAGUGGGAAGGCCCUUUCUUGGUAGUAUCUUCGUCAAGACCCGGUUCCUACAGAUUAAAGGAUAUAGACGGCAACGACAUCCCUAGAUCGUGGAACGCGGAUGAGCUUCGACGAUAUUAUGUUUAGCUUGAUGUAAUUUUUUCUAUUCCUUUUUUCUGGCACCCUUUUCCUUUCCAAAGGGGGAGAAAGGUUUUUAAUGGGGCCACAACAUGUAAUUUUCCUUAUUUCAAUUCUAUAAGAAUGAUAUCCCCCAAAGAUGUAAAUGUAAAUGCAAAGGAAAAAGAAAAGAAAUCAGGGAAAAGCUCAAAAGUCGUUCCUAAGGGAAUGUAGAGCUUACAGCGAAAAGUCAACGCUGAUUCCGUUGAAAGUAAAAGGCGAAGAAGCUCCCAAGGGAGGCAUACAGCGAAAAGUCAACGCUGAUACACCGAAAAGUAAACGGUGAAGCCGAAAAGUAAACGGCAAAAGGAUUCGAAUCGUUCCUAACGGGAUGAAAGGGCUGUGAUUAUGAUUUUUGAACAUGUGUCUCAAUAUUCAUUUGCACAAUACAUUCCAUCAUGUCAUUUGCAUUCAUAAACAUUCAUUUAGACAUAUAUAGAAUCAUCAUCAUACCACACGAAAAAGACAGGUGCUUCGACAAUGAGAAAAGACUUCGAAGGAAAAAUUUUUACGCUUCAUUGUGUAUGAAAAGAAGGGAAGGUGUUUUUCGCCUUCGGCUCAAAAGAGGAGUUUCGUCCACAGCAAAGCAGAUUGGAUCAAGAUAACGGAAACAAAAUAUAUUACAAGGUAUGUACAAAUUUACAUGAGUUGUUCCAUAAUUAUAUUACAAAAGUCUCUCCAGAAUUUUUGCAGGAAAGUAUGGUGAGGCAACUAUCAAGCUUCAGGCUAGAUUUCGUCAAAACUUCAGCUUCGUCAUAUUUCAGCUUCGUCAUCCUGCGUAUAUCAAAGAUCAGAGUAAGACAGGUGCAAAUUUCAAGGAGAAGGUAAAAGUAACAAAUAUAAGUUUUUUACUGGCUUAAGAUGACUUCGAGCUUCGUCACCUGCCAUUUUUCGCCCCCCCCAUUUAACCAGAUCUGGGUCAUGAAUCUAUUUCCAAUGCUUUGGGCCAGGCUUGGGAUAUCUAUCAGAUCUGACGCUGAUAAGCUGAAGUUUGGUCUAUUUACAAUAUUUCCAUGCGUGCAGCCGGACUUCAGAAAAGCGGCAGCUGUGCCCCGAGAAGCUACCAUGGCGCAGAAGUCGGCGUGCCCACUAAUAACUUCGUCAAGAGCAUCAACCUCGCCUUCAAUAUAUUCUAAUGUGCUGGGCAGGUUUGCAGCCGAAGGUGUAAAUUUUUCAGAGCUGGCUCCGAUAGAAUGAAACACAUCCUUCAGCCGCUGCACGCAUCGGCUGCCGAAGCUUAGGCAUUUCUCUUGGAGUUCUUUCAAGGAUGUUUGCAGAUUUGAAUUUUUAUCCAUCUCAGUUUUAAGACUUGUUUCAAGGUGUUUCUUUUCCUGCUCAAAUUUUUCUGAUUGUUUAAGCAAUUCAUUCUUUAAGCUAUCAUUCUCGGCUUGGACUUCAGCCAAGGAGCCUUCCAUAGACUGAAUAACAAAGUCCUUCUUUUCCAAUGCACCUUCGUGCUCUUUAGCCAUGAUUUCAAAAUCUUGGAUGGCGAAGUCCUUCUUUUUCAGAAUAGCUUCGUAAUUUUCAACUUUUUCUUCCAAAUCUUUGAUGAUAACCUUGUUCUUCUCCUCUUCGAGAUCUUGUUGCAUUUUUAGAACCUUACUUAAUAGUAUACUCUGUCAAAACAGUCUUCAUUAGAAAAUGACCUAAAAAAUUAAUAAUAAUAAUAAUAAAAUGGUAAUAAUAUUUUUUACCUUAAAAUUAGCAUAAAGCAGGCUUCCAGCGAUAUGGUGUCGUUGGUAGCGGCAGAGGUCCGCUUCUAGUUUCGGCAGGCCAAAGCUUUUCGAGAGGGUUUUAAUAAUUUUAGCCUCGCUGCGGUUUCGAAGACAUCUCAGUUUCCCUUCGUUAACUCCACCAAAUAGCAUAGCCCCAUGCUUAUAUCCACAUGAUACGGCAUAUUUUUUAACUCUUCUUUUUCAGCAUCUGUUAAUUCUUGUCCAAGUAAAUCUUGAAAUUUAAAAUCUCCUUCCAAAACGUCUUCAACUUGCUUUUUCUCUUUUUCAGUAGCUGCGCUUGCCGCGACUACAGCAGCUUCUUCUUCAGCCAUUUUCAGGAGUAUACUAUCAAUAACUUCAAGUGUCUCUUCCAGGUUUGGAUCUUCUGUAGCCCCGGCUUCGGCCCCGGCAGUUUCGGCUCCGCCGGUUUCAGCUUCGGGGGUUUCCACUCUGGUAGCUUUGGCUGCGGCACCUUUAGCGGUUUCGGCGGUCUUGGCAACAACAAUUUUUGAUACCGAUGUCGGCGAUGGUGUCCCAUGGAUCACAUCUGUCACUUGAAUGAUUCUUCAUUUUUUCGGCUUCGCAGGACUUUCUACUGUCGAAGUCUCUUUGUCCUUCUGAAAAAACUUUGUCAGUUCCGGUGCCAGCAGACUUAGCUUGACAGGCAAAGAUUCAGUCAUUACCUUCAAAAUUUCUUCCACUUCGGCAGCAGAAGGUGCCACAGACACUUCUUCAUCUCGGGCCAAUAUCUCUGGUUCUGGAGAUGCUGGCUUCGGUGAUGCAGGCUUUGGAGACGCAGUUUUUCUCUUUCUUGGAGCAAUUGCUUUCGGCUCAAGUUUUUCUUUCUUCUUUUCUGGUUGAUCUUCGUCGUCUUUAGUUAAAACGCUGGCCACUCGUUUUCUUUUUUGCCCUUCGGCACCCUUGUCUAGCCGCUCGUAGUCAGGGUAUUCAAAACCUAUAGCAUCAAGCACUCUAUUUAGCCUUUGUUUCGGCCGCGUGCCGAAGGCUGCUGUCAUCAAUUGAUCUUCUUUUUUAGAAUAAUUUCCAAGAAUUUCAGUACUCAUUACUUCAAUUGUUUCGAACCAUUUUUGGCAGGGUUCUUUAAAAUAUUUCUUGAACUUGUAAUGGUAGGGCAGGCGGACAAGUUCUCCUUCUUUCUUCUCUUUUUUGAGCUUCGGCAUAGCCCAUUCCUUCAUAGUUGGAAAUAUUUUGAACGACAGAAAUUCCUGCACAAGAUCUCUAGUGCCAAUGUGCUUAGCAAUAAUCCUGAAUUCAGCCAACGCGAUUUGAGUUGGACCUUCUGGUGUCAUAUUGCAGUGGGGUCUAGUCUCUCCGAAUAUCAAUUCAAGCGGGCUCUGUACUAGCUUCUCCUUGUCAUCGUCAACUUUGACGUAGAACCAUUCUGACUUCCAGCCUGCCGGCCACUUGCUUCGAUAGCUGAUUACAGGAAACUUCGUAGUCUUCCGAUAAGCAAAAUUAUAACAACCAAAAUUUUCAUGUAACCCAUCUUUUCUGGCCUUAGUUUGAUAAUGUAGCUCGUGUACCCGGCAGAAACCUUCGGCAAAUGGCUCCACCCCCUGGCUUCGGAGAGCCCAAAUAUAAACACUAAGCCUAACAAUAGCAUUAGGAGUUAAUUGAUGAAAAUAGAUACCAAACUUUUUUAGCACAUCGGCAAUCAUCCUAUUCAAAGGAAAUCUCAAACCAGCUUUGAGGAAACUCUUGAAAAUCACUAUUUCAUCCUUCUCUGGCUUCGGGGUAGUUUCCUCUCCUCCGAAGCGAAUCAGCUUCUUCUCAUCUUCGCUAAAGUAGCCCGAUUUUACCAUCUUCAGGAAAUCAGCCUUGGAGAUUGUUGACUUUCCGAAGUCCAGGUGGCUAGGCUUGCUUGGUAUUGCAAUAGUGUGAUCAUCUUCAGAAUCAGUUUCUUUGAUAUCUGCUUGUCCUGCUUCGGCAGCAGGGGUGAUCUCCGAUGUCACCAAUCCACUUCGCCUCGUCGCUUCCGAGAUAGGGACAGUUUCCGCAGCUUCGGCUUCGUCUCCUUCGCGCUCAACCCUAGCAAUAGAGCGCACUCUGGCCAUUUGAUUUUGAGUACCUCGAAAAUUGCUCAUAAAUUAAUAACCUCUUUCCCAAAGCCCUUCUUCUGACGAAGCAGACGCCAAACUAGAGCUUCGUUCGAAUGUGAAAGUCAAGCUUCGGCUAUGGUUGAAAGUUGCCUAGAGGGGGGUGAAUAGGCAAGUUAAAACUUUUUCAACAAAAAUUUGAAGCAAACUGGGUAAAACUGAAUUGAUCUUGAAAUUCACCCAGUUAACUUUGGAAAUGAGAUGUUCUAAAUGAUCCACAGGGUUCAAAGUAGUAGAUCUGAGAAGGGCACUUCUCAAAAUCCACACACUAAAAAUAUAUAAACAAAUCUUUCACGGAAUGGUGAGAGAACGAAGAACACAAACAAACACAAUGAGCAAGAACACAAGAGACACAAGAUUUAUCCCGAGGUUCGGUCACACCACCAAGGUGCCCUACUUCCUCGUUGAGGCGCCCACAAAGAUCCGGGUCUCUUUCAACCCUAAUCCUCCCUUUGCCGACCACAAAGGUCAAGCUCACACACUAAUCUUUGCUCAAACGAGCGGGUAAUACAAACUUUCUUGUGGUCUUCCACAAGAUUUGGAGACUCACAAGAGACACCUAGUAGUCUAGGAGCUAGAAGCUCCAAGAGUAAUGAAUCCACAAAGAACUCGAUGUAGUACCAAAGCUCGAAUCAAGAAGAAGAGCAAGAGAGAUUUAGAGAUGAAGCACAAAACCGCAGCUCUCAAGCUCACUCAAAGAUUUCUCUCCAAAGAUUUGAAAUGGGAGAGGCAAGAGAUGUGUGAGAGAGAGAGAGGGAGGUGUUUCUUGGGUUAGAAAUGGAGUUCAAAUUGUGCUUACUACUAUGGGGUGAGAGGUAGGAGUGAGUAUAUAUAGUUGGAGCUCAAAACUAGCCGUUGGGGCCGAUUUUUCUGUUUGAGACCGGUUGAACCGCCCCCUAGGGUGGUUGAACCGCCCCUGGCAGGUCAGGCAGACUGUCUGCCAGUCUGACUGUCAGACUGACUGGCAGACUGACCUGCAGGCUGACCAGGGUUGACCAGACCGGUUGAACCGCCCAGGGGGGCGGUUGAACCGCCCCUGACAGCUCUGGCGACCUGUUUGCCAGUCUGACUGGCAGACUGCAGAUCAGAGGUCAAAGGGGUCAAAGACCAGCUGAACUGCUCCUCAGGACCAGUUCAACCGGUCUUGACCAGUGAGUUUAGGAGAGAAAACCCCAACUCAACUGCCCGGAGGCAAGUUCAGCUGGUGUAUGGUCAAAGAGGUUCACAGCUGAAGUUGAGUUCAGCUGAAGUUGAGAAAGCUCAACUCAGCUGAAGUCCAGCUCAGCUGCAGCUGAAGAAGCUCAACUCAGCUGAAGUUCAACUCAGCUGAAAAGCUCAGCUGCAGUUGAAGAAGUUCAGCUGCUUUUCAGCAAGAACACUCUAGGUUUCUCAAACCUAACCAUGGUCAACCAUAGAAUGUUAAAUAGAUUUUUGCUUUUCAAAAAUAGCUUUUGAAUAGAGAGGUUUGAGCUUUGGCAAACACCAACCUUCUUUUUGGAUCCCCCUUUAUAGUACGACGAUUCCUAUACUCAAGUUAAAUAAAAUAUAAUGAAGUAAACUCCUUGAGAAAUUGGUGUCUCAUGUGUGAUUUCUCCAUGGCAUUGCUUCAUAAGGAUCACACACAUCUUUGUCUCACCUUUUGAAGCAAACUCAAAUCAAACCCUGUGACUUGUACCAUAUCACCUUAUAUGAGUUCAAAUCAUGGCUUCAAGUCACCUUACUGAUGCAUCAACAUGUUGUAACUCUUCAUAGCUGAUUAGUUCAUCGACUUAGUGCAAGUACUCUCUUCUUCACCUUAGCCAUGGUACCUCGGUCUACAAGCCGUCGCUUGGCCUUCACCUUCGCUUAGUUCCUCGAAGCCCUUUCCUUGCUAUCUUCACCCUAUCAAGCCAUUCUUGAGUCACAUCCUAUUGAGCAUCCAUUGAGAGAAUCAUUUCUUCAAUAUUGUGAACCUUGCUUGAAUGACAUCUAGAUAUAACUGCUAAGAUCAAUCAAGCUCUAGUUUGAUUCUCAUAUAUUCAUAUAUGGACUAAUAGUAAUAUGGUCAAGCCAAUUCACGAUUCCUCAUAUCUUAUUCACUUUGGCUUGACCAAUCCUUUUAAUCACUUCAACCUCUAUUCUGAUCAUAUGUAUGCAGUGAUUUCUUAGGUCUUGCCCAUAUAUUCAAACCAAUAUAGAGAGACCAUAUUAUAUCCAUUUGCAUUGUCUCACUGGAUUUAACCUUGUGUUGAACCUUUGUUCACUGAUCAUUAUACACUAUUCAAGUAUGUUCAUCAUACUGAAUUUCCUGUUCAACACUUAGCAAACUGUUAGACCUUUAAAUGUGUUGUUAUCCAAAUCACCAAAACUCACAAAAGGGAUGAAUGCACUUUCAAUGGUUAAAAAUUUUGGCAGCAAAACAAUGCAGUAGCAAUGAAUGCUGUGGUAACUUCACACCUACCCGUCUGUUUAUAUAGUGUUGCAGGAAGGAAGGUGAAUCGUCAGGAUUUUUACACCAAGCAAACGAUUGCUCGCACCCGCUGAACGGUGGACCACAAAAACCAGAAGUGAACCCGCAUGGUGGAAUCACUACGCGCUCGAAAAUUGUAUCGUUUCUCGACAACGAGCUCAGGGAAGAUGUUUUUCGGACCUUCGGCUUCCUGAAGCCUAAGAGACUUUUUUUCACGGAUCAAGCUCGUUACAAAAAACGAUCUAGCACCGUGAAGGGGCUACUGUUGGGACCACGCUUCGUCGCCGAAGGUCCUGCAGAAAGAAACAACUUCGGCUGAAGCCGCUUGUACGUGACGCCGAAGGCAUCAUUCAUGAAGCUUCGGUAUUAUAACAUAUCCGAAGAUGAAGGGUCGAACCGACUUAAAGAUGGAAUGACCUUUUAGCUCAUAGGGGUCUGAGUCAUUGUUGUAAACUUUUAUGAGGGGCAUGAUUGUAAUUCUUCACAGGCUGUGUCCUGUGCCUAUAAAUAGUGAACAUUAUUCCUUUACUGUUCACGCAUUCCUGUAAUUGCCGACGCAUCACACUGGAAUUAUUGUUUUCCGUCAAGGAAAAGGUAUAAAUGUACCCUAAUAUCAUGUUUUAAUAUUCAGAUCCAUAUAAUGAAAUAUACGAAUAAUGUUAUCUGUUUCUGACAUAUGUUUUACAUGUUAUACUUCAUUUUACAUUAUUAUAUAAGUUUAAUCACGAAGGUAUGACCUUCGUGAUAUUUUGCCCGUAACCUUUGUCCGAAGUUCAUUAAAUCCUUGGGGAGAUAAUGCUUCAGCGGACGAAGGGCAUUAACAUUUAAUAUUUUUAUGUUGCCUUGUUCUUAAUUCAUAACAUUUGAGAACAAGUCCCCAACACUAACCAAAAGUCUUGUGAUGGGCGAGUUGACCUACUUCCUUGGAUUCUAAGUGAAGCAACUCAAGGACGACACCUUCAUCUUCUAAACGAAGUACACUCAAGAUCUUCUCAAGAGGUUUGGGAUGAAGGACGCUAGGCCCGCAAGACACCAAUGGGAACUGACGGACAUCUCGACCUCAACUAUAUCGGUUGCAAGGUUGAUAGGAAGAGCACAUCAGGGAUGUGCCAAUUUCUAGGAAGGUCCCUGAUGUCAUGGAGUUCCAAGAAACAAACAUAUGUUGCCCUAUCCACCGCUGAGGCCGAGUACGUUGCCACGGGACAGUGUUGCGUGCAACUGCUUUGGAUGAGGCAAACCCUCCGGUACUUUGGCUAUAAUCUGAGCGAAGUCCCACUCCUAUGUGACAAUGAGAGUGCAAUCCGCUUAGCGGAUAAUCCUGUUGAACACAGCCGCACUAAGCACAUAGGCAUCCGGCAUUACUUCCUGAGAGACCACCAGCAAAAGGGAGAUAUCGAUGUGUACCACAUUAGCACUGAGAACCAGCUAGCCGAUAUCUUCACCAAGCCUUUAGAUGAGAAAAGGUUUUGCAGGUUGCAUAGUGAGCUAAAUGUCUUAGAUUCGCUUAACUUGGAUUGAUCUAGAGCAUACAUGUAGUUCAUGCCUUUGAUCAUGUUACUUUAAGAAUUUACAUCAUUUAUUGUUUAUUUGUGGUGUUCAAGUUGUACAAGUCAUCCCGGACCUCACAAGUCCAUAUGCAAAUGAUGCACAUGUUUAGGGGGAGAUGUGCUACAACUUAACUCUAUUGAGACUAAUUGAUUUGUUUGAGUAUACUUGAAGUAGUCUCGAAGGACCAUUGAAAUGGAAAAUGAACUUGGACAACGAUAAGACUUCCACUGCACUCCAGUAUAAGUGUACUUAAUUCCAAGUUCAUGCUAAUACUCUCAUUGCCUUCUUGCUCUUAUUUGACAUUUUGGUGAGGCAAUGGGGUUCAAGGGCCAAAAAUGAUCCAGUUUUGGUGCUUAAUGCUAAAGGGGGAGAAAUUAAGGCCAAAGCAACUGGAUCAGCCAACCACUUGAGAAUUUCAAAAAUAGUAGAGUUAGAAUUUGUAUUUUGCCCAAAUGACUCUUAUUGCAAAAUUUGAUCUCUUAUGGUGAAGAAUUUUGAUUAUGGGAAAAAGGGGGAGUUUUUUUACACUUGAUCUUUUUCACUCUUGGAAUAUCUUUCCGUUUGCCCAAACAGGUGUGUUUAACUUAGAAAUAGGGAAAAGAAUUUGAUUUGCAAAAAUAAACCAAGUGGUGGCAAAGAGUGAUUCAAAUAUGCCAAAUACUAAGUGAAGAACAAUUUGGUCUUAAAUCUGCACUUCUUAGUUGGGUUUUAAUGUGUUGGCAUAAAUCACCAAAAAGGAGCGAGAUUGAAAGGGAAGUGUGCCCUUGGGCCAUUUCUAUUAGUGUUUUGGUGAUUAGAUGCUCAACACAUAUUGAUUGAGUUCUUAUGUGCUAAAUGAGUGAGAAGUGAAAAUCAAAGAACAAGGUAUGUUUCUAGACUUAGUAAAUUGUUUUUUGUUACUAACAUGUUUAUCUAAGUGCUAGAAACAGUGCCAAGAAAAGAAGAUUUGAAUUAGAAAAGAGUUGGCUAAGUACAGCCAAAACCAGCACCAGCCUGGCACACUGGACUGUCCGGUGGUGCACCGAACAGUGUCUGGUGCCCCAGGCUAGCUCAACGUGAACUGGCUGCUCUCGAGAAUCGGUCAGCGACUUGACUAAAAAUCACCGGAUUGUCAGGUGGUGCACCGGACUGUCCGAUGAGUCAGAGCCGCCCAAGCCAACGGUCGGUAGCGGAAACAGCGGGCGACACGUGGCCCGCGCCAACGGUCGAUUGGGCACACAUCAGACAGUGUCCAGUGCGCCAACGGGAUCACCGGCUCAAUGGUCGGAUGUGCCAGAUAAGGAAGGAGAUCACGCACCAGACAGCUAUAGGACCUGUCCGGUGGUUCACCGGACUGUCCGGUGUGCCACUCGGCAGAAGGCAAGAAUUGCCUUCCAAGUUGAUCUCCAACAACUCCUAGCUGCCUUGAGGCUAUAAAAGGGACCCCUAGGCAUAUGAAGCAGAACACCAAGCAUUCACUAAGCAUCCUAAGACUCCCAGACUCUGCCUCCGCGCAUUUGAUCGAUUGUGUUAGUGAUUUGAGCUCCAUUCGAGUUGUGAACUCUCUGUGCUGUGUUUUGAGCUCAAGUCAUGGCUUGUGUGCGUGUGUGUGCUGCAGAUUUGAGUCUUGCGUGUGUUACUCUCUCUCUCUCUUACUGCUGUGCUUCUAUUGUGUUAAACUUGUAAGGGCGAGAGACUCCAAUCUGUGGAGAUUCCUUGCAAACGGGAGAAAGACUCUAAGGAAGAUAGCCGUGGUACUCAAAGUUGAUCAUUGGAUCACUUGAGAGGGAUUGAGUGCAAUCCUUGACCGAAGGAGGUCACCACAACGUGGAAGUAGGCAUUGGCCGAACCACAGGAUAAAUCACUAUGUCUCGUGUCCAUCUUAUUUUGUGAUUGGCUUUUCUUCUAAAAUUCACACUCUAGCAUCUUGGUUUUAACCGCACUGACAUUUCAUAACCAAGUAUUGGCUAUUUAGUAUUGAAUUUUGCAGGAUCACCUAUUCACCCCCCUCUAGGUGCUCUCAACCUCUCCUUAGUCCUCGCAAGGACUAAGUGCUCACUACGAGCUAAUUCUUUGCCUCUCUAACGUGGUGAAUCACUCACAACUGCGAACAACAUCGAGUUGGGUCACCAACAAGUCCUCCGAGGUGAUCACUGUGCUCCAAUCGCCACCAUGCCGUAUAGGUGAUGCCGAUCACCAAGAGUAACAGGCUCUAGACUUUCACUUGACAAUGGCAUGCCUAAUGUGAGUGGUGUGUGCUCUAGAUGGCUCUCUCUUGCACUAAUGUGGCUCUAACCGCGAGAUUAUGAUUUGCUAAUCACCUCACUAUGCAAAGAAGUCUUGCAAGCUCUAUGUAAUGAAUUCCAAGUGGUUGGUUAGCAAGACACUGAAUGAGGCUAUUGGAGGGGGUAUAAAUAGUCGUCCAACAAAAACUAGUUGUUAGUGUUCUAUAUAGUUUGUUGGCACAUUGGACCUUCCGACAAUGUCAGCCAACGGCUAGUUCUGAUAACUAGUAGUUACUGUCUAGAGGGUCUGGUGCACCAGCAGAGUACAUCAGACUAGUCCGGUGUACCAGGGCAAACAUCCCUAAAUAACAUGUUAUCUGUGUAGGCGGUUUGGUGCACCAUCGGACAUGUUCGGUGCCCCUAUCUCAAACAAGGCACAGGAAAGUGCUCUCUGGGUAUGCGAUCUGGCGCACCCAGAGGCACUCAGGUUUUUCUAACUCAGAUUUUUCGAUUCGGAUUUUACUCCAAACUUUGUGUGGAUUAUGAGUGACACCUAGCACUAGCUUUAUGUAUGUACUAGUUUUAUGUAUGUGUAUGCAACAACACUGCACUAGACAUGCCUAGGUCAAGUUACUGAUCCACAACCCCCUUUAUAGUAUGACUAAAAUCAAAAUAAAAGGUCUUAACCCUAUACUAAGUGUUCGACAACUCCUUCGACACUUAGGAUACGUAGUCCUUCACCUUUUGGUCCAUCUUUUUCAGUCGUCACGUCGAUUUUAAUCGUCGGGUUCUCUUCACUUUUUGAAGCCCAAAUUCCAACAUUUGUGACUUAACUUACUGUAUAGUUGCAGAAUACAAGUUAGUCGAAAGAAUCUUUAUUGUCAUUAAUAAUAAAAAACAACAAUAGGUCUAGAUGCUUUCAAUCUCCCAUUUUUUGUGAUGUAUGACAACGUAUCUCUAGUGUGUGAGGAUGGUUUGUUUUAAAUAUGUCAAUCUUUGAAGUUUUUGAGAGAUGUCCAAAGGAUCGAUAAAGAUAGAACAAUUCAUCUACGUCCCAUUUGGAUCAUUGAAAUUGAAUUCCAUUCUAAUAAUAGUAAUUUAGUCAUAUAUCAAUUAAGCUAAUUGGGUUUUAUGCAAAAUAUAUUUGUAUACUAUUAUUAGCAAGAUGUUGGAGAUAUUUAUGCGCUACAUUUUUACUAUAGAGGAGUGAGACGAAUAGUGUCAUGUAAGUUACAGAGUAGAAACAAAUUCUACUAAUGCAUAAAAUCAUUUCACACCCUCCACCCCAUGAAUUUGAGAUAGGCUUAUAUCUGAACUUUGAAAAGUGAUGAAAUAUCAAAUUCUAAACUAAAUAAGUUACUUUAUUGAGUGAAUUUCAAUUCCUCUAAAAUAAAGGAAUCCAAACGUUCGGUUAGUGGAGUCAGGGGAGGUUAGACUGUCUUCAGCGGUUCCCCCUAAAUUUCUCCCCCUAUAUCCCACUCACGUGCCACGUCAGCGUUCUCUCUCCCCCUAUAUCUCCACGCUCUACAGCGGUUCCCCCUAUAUCAAUCCUCUAUACCCCACCACAUCAAUAUUAUAUACUUUCAUCAUCAACUAACUCAACUACCAUCCAAUAUUAAUUUUAUUUUUAUUUCUUCUUUGCACAGUACACGGGCGUAACUUGGUCCAUAAUUAAUUAGCAAACUUCAUAAUUAGUAUUAAUACGUUAGUAUAAAUACGGUCGAAUUUUAUGUUUUUUAAAAAAAAAGAAAUUUGCAUUCUUCUCGUACACGACACGAGUGGCUUCCAGCACACGAAUGGCUUCUACGGCAAGCCACGACCCUAUGGCUUCCUUCACACACCGAAGCCAUCUAUAAAUAAGGUACCCUGCGGGCAUGCUCCACUCAACUACACACUCGUCUCUUCUGUAUCAUCCGCCAUUCCAUCAAAAGUACGUAGUACGUAGUCUUAGUUCAGCUCGUCACGGACUCAUUGAAAAGCCCAGUGUUGUCUUCGUCAUCCGAUGAUUUGGACGAUGAGAUCGAUAACUUGUUGCUUUGGCAACAUGUUGACCACCUUGUACUAGGAGACACGAGCACGCGCCGUAGGCGCUCCUCAUUGCCUCGCCGUGUUAUCCAUAGGGACCACGCUGCUGGAGAAAAUCUCAUCAAGCACCACUACUUCGGACCUAAUCCAGUGUAUCCAUCACAUGUUUUUCGUCGAAGGUACAUUUCCUAAGUAAUGCUUUUACUUUGAUUUGGAGCUUCAUUUUCUUAUUUUUUGCUUUGUUUUCGUUUUUAGGUUUCGGAUGCAUCGUCCUUUGUUUCUACGUAUCCUUCGUGCCGUUCAGCGAGAAGACGAUUACUUCACAGUACGAUGUGAUGCAACUGGUUUAGCGGGGCUUGGUCCAUUGCAAAAAGUUUGUGCUGCUUUGCGUAUCCUUGCGUACGGGUUACCAACCGAUGUGGUCGAUGAGUACAUACAGAUUGGACAGACUACGGCUAGGGACUGCCUUAUCCAUUUCUGUCGCGGAAUCAUCUCUUCCUUUAGCGAACGAUACCUCCGUAUCCCUAACCACGACGACAUUGCUCGCAUACUUAGUGUAAACGCGGACAGGGGGUUUCCGGGUAUGCUAGGCUCCAUCGAUUGUAUGCAUUGGGAAUGGCGCAACUGUCCUACUGCAUGGCGCGGACAGUUUUGUGGGCGCAAUUCGAGGCCAACAAUGAUACUAGAGGCAGUCGCUGGGUAUGACCUGUGGAUUUGGCAUGCCUUCUUUGGAAUGCCUGGUACUAACAAUGAUCUCAACGUGCUUCAUCGAUCACCAGUGUUUGAUCCGUUACGUAAUGGGACAAUGCCACCAGUGCACUUCACUAUUAAUGGUACCACGUACAAUUUCGGAUACUACUUAGCAGAUGGCAUAUAUCCAAAUUGGCCUACCUUUGUAAAAGCAAUUCGUCACGCUUUUGAGGAAAAAAAGGUUCACUUCACAGCCAAGCAGAAGAGUUGUCGAAAGGACAUAGAGCGAGCAUUUGGAGUUUUGCAGGCGAGGUGGGCAGUUCUACGUGGCCCUGCUUAUGGUUGGGAUCGUAAUCACCUCGCAGAGAUGAUGACUGCUUGCAUUAUUAUGCACAACAUGAUUGUCGAGGACGAAGGAGAUGGUGCAGCAAAUGUGGACUUCAUUGGGCCCACUGGUCCCCCAGAAGUUUGUAAUAAUAUUCCUGAGGUCCGCAACGAGUGGCUAAACAAUCAUAUCCGCUCUGAAUUACCCAACGAUCCCGAGCAAGACAUCACAUCUCAGACCACAUACUUGUCUUUGCAGCACAACCUGAUAGAACACCUUUGGGCACGUCGAGGGUCGAUGGGUUAAAGGCCUUCAUCCAUAUUAUGUGGUACAACAAUGUUGUUCUAUUUGAUUUAUGAACUAAGUCAUUAGUACCAGGAAUGCAAGUCAUGUCAUGUAUCUUGGUCGGCAGUGAAGAAGUCAUGGUAACUGUUUUGUGUAAUGCAUGUGCUACAAAUAAUUUGCAUAUGUUUGCAAACGUGAAGUCAUGUAUGAAAAAACGUUAUUAUGAAUAUCAAUAUUAUGAAAAUAAACAAUGUUCAAAAACCAAGCUCAUGUUCUCAAACUAAUAAGGAAAUGUUCAAACACUCGAAAUCACACAAGUCCAAACACACAGGACCACGGUACGCCGAUACAAAGGUGAGCAACACCUUCUCAAAUAAAUUAGUACUCUUCAGACAGGAUUGUUGAUGAAAUACUCGAUUAAACCUUUUCUCCUCGCGAUGUAUACAGCUCUCAACUCUUCUGGUAAAGCAUCCAUAUCCACAGCAUAAAGUUUCUUCAGCUCUUCGUCCUUUUGCUUCAUGUCUUCCAUCAUCAAUUUUUUUCCCUGCACUUCUAUUUCCUCGGAUUGAACCUCCAACUUCUUGAGUUCAACUUCCUUCAUGAACUCAAUGUUCUGUUGUUUCAGCUCUGAUUUUUCUUCACUUUGCUUCAAUCUUGCUAUUUGAAUGUCAUGGAGUCUUGACAGGUAGUCAGUGGACUGGGAUGAACUGGACAUUGCCUUCUUCCUUGAUGCUUUCGUCGAGUCACGUCCUAAUGGUCUCUUACCUUUUGAACCACCUUCGUCAUAUUCGACAUCAUUAACAGAACCUGUAGGUGUAAGACUACGAACAGGCUCCGUCCCCGCAUUGCCUCUCCAGGGGCUUCCAUGAACCAUGGCAUCCCAUUUUGGUUCGUUUUUUAGUCGCGUCCAGCAAUGCAUGAAAUGAAAAGGCUUUUUCUGUGACGUUGCAUAUAGAGUUGCAACUUUCGAAGUCUACAGAAGAUUUAUAACCAGUUGUUAGUGUUCGAAAAAACAGUAAGUACACAUAAACCAUGACCAUACAUUGAGUAUUACAAAUGAAUGUUAUUGUACCUUGUCGUUAUCUGUGAGCCCACUCUGGUUUUCCCUUAGGACUCUAGCGUAGAAUCCAACAAAUUUGCCUGUUUUAGCUCUUAUUUUGUCCCACCUACUGCUCAGGGCCCUAUUCAGUCUCAUUGGAAACUCACCUCUAAGUUCAUUGUACCUUUUCUCAAUUCUAGCCCAUAACCCCUCCUUCCUCUGCCCUGUGCUAAUGACUGGGUCACUACUAAUCUCUAGCCAUGUUUUGCAAAGCAACAGGUCUUCAUCAGGUUUGAAGUUCUGUUCCUUUGUCCUUCUAAAUGUGAUAGGUGUGUCUGAAGGUUUGGUAGGGCUGUUAACUUCCUGGACACUGUGUUCUGCUUCGGAUUCAAAAUUGAUAGGGUCAGUCUGGUUGGGAACAUGGGUAGAAACCUGUGGACAUGGAAUGGGUGGUACCAACUGGGGUUGACCGAAUGAUGUUUGUGGUGGAGGACCCCCAGGAUUCAGCAUACCAAAAAAUGGGUUCCAUGGACUACGAAAGGUAUAUGUAGAUGGGUCAUUAGCUCCCUGGGACCAGGUAGGAUUGCUCAUAUGGGAUGUAGGACUAGUAAAUGUAGAAGGAUGGGUUGGGUCUAAACUUUGGCCCUGCCACAUCUGAGGAUCCCACAUGGGUGGGGGGAAAGACUGGUUACCUGAAUUGGGGCUAGCACCAGUAGGUUGAAAAGGUGUGUUUGUGUUGUUGUCAGCCAUUCUGGAAUGAAAUACAGGAAUACAUUAAUUUGGACAACACAUAACAGACUUGUACUAUAAAGUAGAAACUUUAAUGCAUUGCACAUAAGGUUCAUAGAAAAGGAACACAAUGAUGAAGCAUUGCACAUAAGGUUCAUACGAAAGCAACAUAAGGAUUAAGCAUUCCACAUAAGGUUCAUAGAGAAGGAACUUAAGGAUGAACCAUUCCACAUAAGGUUCAUACAAAAUAAACAUAAGGUUCGAGCAUUCGUACAUCGGUUACCCAUGCAUCACAGACAUAAGACAGAAGUUCAUAUUUCAUUUCGAUGCAUUACUACCACUAAGACCAUAGUCUACGUACCACAAUUACAGGUUCCAAAUGUUAUACCUAGUGGACCUGUCCGAGUCGUACGAGUCAUUGUCACUGGCCUCAUACAAUUCUGGUGAGGAAGGGGGGUGAAAGUAAUUUGUCUAGGCACUGGCUUCACAGGCUCCGCAAGGUUAAUUUGUUCCUCCAUCCUCUCCUUCUCUAGGUCAGACCUUGCUUUGCUCUCAAGUGCAUCCUGCUCCAUCAGGUCUACCUCCUUUCGAAUUGCAAGUAGAGCAUUCAUAAGGUAAUGCUCGUCACCCAAAUGACGGAAAGCCUCUUCUAGAAAGCUUCUAAUAUUGAAAGCACCAGUUUCCACUGAGGAUGCAAGAUUGAGGACCAAGUGUUGCAGCACUUUGGCAUCAUGGCUGCUCAUCUUGAUUCGUAUCCUCAACCAGUACCUCCUUGGCUAGACAAGGUGCAUACAUGAAAAAAUUAGGGCCAGUCUUGUUCCUAAUUGGUGAAAUUAAAGUGUUCAUGGCAGUUAGGAAACAUCUAUGGGUUGCAAUAUAAUAAACUAAUAUUUCAAUUUAAUAAACUAAAGUGGUGAUGGCAGUUAGCAAACAACUGUUGGUUGCAAAAUUAUGAACUGCAAAAGUAUUUCUACACAUUUAUUGUGCCUUUGGUACGUCUGUUGGUUGCAUAUAACAAGCUAAUGUUGCACAAAAUACAUGAAAGCACAGACAAAAAACAUGGAGACAGACUUAUGCAAUUGAUAAAAAACAAUGUACUAUAGCAAAAAAGGAUUUAGAACCUCAAUUAGUUGAAGAGGACGUCAAAUAAUCAAAUAAUUUUAUCAAGCUGCAUAAUAAGUAAAGGUUUCGUUAGUUGCAUGCAAUGGUUGGUCAUGUAAGGAAAGACUACUCGAAAUUGUAGGGUCACUGAGUCCAAUUCUUAGACAGAGGAACUAAGUCCAAUUUAAAGUAAUGGAUAUGGAAGGAAGAAGGGGUUGUGUUGGGGAAUUGAACAGUACUGGUACUGAGUUCUUCGAAUAGGAACAUUAACAUGCAUUUCUCUACCAGCAACAUUGAGCAAACAACAUACAAUCCACAUGACUGGAAAUCAAUUCACAUGCGAGAAAAUGGUGGGUACACAAACUUCAGUAGAGGAGGAUGAGGAAUAUGCAAAUGACACAAAAGUCUGAAUGUUGUUUCCUUUGUACCAUACUAAAAGUAGCAUCAAUUUUUUACUUCAUUAGCACGGAUCAGUUAGCAAAACGUGAUUGAGUAUAGGUUCAGAUCUAUGUGUACCACAAUAUCAAACUUGGUUCUUGUACAUAAACAAUAGGCGCAUCAGAUAUCGGACAUAACCGCAACCCUAACUAGUCAAAGUAGACGAUGAACACAUAAAUCGUAGCGCUGAAAGAAGUAAAGUACAUCUAAACCCUAAUGGUAAUCCAAGGUACGUUUUUUAAGGAACCCAGAUCAAUCCGAGGUGUAGACCUUGGAGAUGCGACGAAGCGUACCUUGGACCUUGAAGCUCGAAUGACGCAGAUCGGCUGAGCGUAGAUCUGUCGGCGAAUGGAUGACCUCCCUUUGACCUCCACCCCGCAGCUGACGUGCCGGCGGACAGAGACGAGCGGCGCCGCGCCGGCGUCUUCGCACGGAUCGGCCGGGUCGCCGGUCCGCGAAGCUUGACGGCGGAUUCGCGUGGACGACCCCCACUGCUGCUCGUCGGCCGGACGAAGACAAACGAUUCGCGGGCGACGGCGGAUCGACGCGUACCUUCUCCGACGGCGGUUCGGUCGCCCGCGGUUCGCCUGGAGCUCCUUCCUCGGAGUAUUCCGAGCGCGCACGCUUGUGUGCGAAGGAAGCGGCUGCGGGGAAGGUCUCCGCCGUAGCGUCCCCAUCCAUUUAGCGGGAGAGAGAAGAAAUCGGGAGGGGAGAGGAGGAAGAAGAGGAAGGCGGUGAAGGGGAUAGAGGGGCACUGUAGCCCCUAUCCCAGCUACAGUAAUAGAGGAGGGGGCGCAAGGGGGCAUGCAUUGAAGAGAGUCUUAUUAUGUAGGAGUAUAGAUGGAGCAGUCCCACUGCUCCCAGCGCAGAGGAACCUCACAUCGCCACCGACUUCGAACCAGCAGCUACAUGUGUCACUCGUCCUUGGAUAACUACAUAUAUCACCAAUUCUCCUCCUCGUCACUUCCGGUCGCGAGUAGCAAUGGAACAUCCCGAGAAUAUUAUUAUUAAUGUAUGAUAUGGUGUGCCUACAAAAUGUGAGAAGCAUACGGUGCCUAGGAAUUGAGUUCCUCUCUUGGCAUCUUGGAGCAGCUUAAUGCCUUUGCUUGCAGCAUUUGUAUGCUGCCAGGGUGAUCUUUUGUUUUGUUUUGAAUUCCUUCCUAUCGUUAUCAGAUCACCAGGAAGUGAUUCUUUCUCCUUUUCGUCUCCUUUUUUUAUCUUCCAUCUGCAGUCAUCCAGAUUCCAGAAUACACGUUGACUGCUGGGAGCAAAUGUAGGUUUUUUACUUGAUCUGGUCAAGCUCAGCAAGCUUAACUAACCUGGUGAAUUAUGUUGAGAAGUACACCUUCAAAAUCACAGCAAGGGUAAGCCCCUCUAGCCAUGAGGGUGAGCCUUUGGUUCUUCAAGUCCUCAAGGAUCAGAUCAUUACCAUUAUGGCCGCCUCUGGUCGGUGGCGACCUCAUCGCUCUACUUUACCUUUCCGGCAAACGGCGAUAGCAUCGUUGCGCCUUAGCUCCACCCGUGACAGCGUCAGUGCGUCACCGCCGAUGGAUGGAGCUUGCUGAAAUCCAACAGACCAAAACGACAAGUGGCACAGGCCCUGUAGAAGCAGCCGGUCGGCUCGGUGAAUGCCACGUGAAGACGUCCGUGUGUUUACCCCCCCCCCCCCCCCCCCCCCCCCCGUUAGCCUCCCAUAGUCCCAUGGUGCUCGUCGCGUCUGGAGUCUGAACCAUUGUACGGGCCCGCCCGCGCUCCAAUUUCAAUUCAUGACCAUCCAUCCCACCCGUCGAGCCGCAUCACGCACUGCCGCACGUCUCGACUCUCGAGUGUCGCCCACGCGGCGCUCCAGCAGCCCCAGCCGGUAUUCAGCUGUCAUACGUCAGUUGUGCCAACCAGAAGUCCAGAACGGACUCCAGAAGAAGCUGGCAACGAACCGGCCAUACUGCCUGCUUGAUUGGGGUUUAGGGCGUGUUUGGGAUCAAGACUGACGAUAGAAAGAGAUUAAGGGCUCGUUGUAUUUUGAAUAGCAAGAAAUUUAAUCCCUCUCAACUUCGUCUCAUACAUGUGCAACCUAAUAAGGCCUAAGGGACUAAGAUACUCUCGUUAUUCAAUUGAAUAGUAAUAGAAUUUUAGCCCUUAAAUCCCUCUAAUUCUCUUGCUCCCAAAUAAACCCUUGAUGUUUAUUAGUUGGUUAUUAAAGUUUUAGGUCAUUUUUAGCUGGUCUAAAUUUUAGGCAUGUUUUAGAUCUAGUUGUUGGAAAUAACAGUAAUUUAGUGAUGAACAAAAUGAUUUCGACAAUAAUAAAAUAAGCAGCAACAUGUUUCAUAAACGCAUAACUCACUAUCAUUUCACAAUCUAGUGCUAUUGAUUGAAAGAAUACGAGAAUAACCGACAGGGAAAGAUAGCCAUUAUCAUAGUGGGGUUGGUGGCGCUAGAACAACACAAAAGUAGGGAAAGCAGAACAAUGAGAACGACAACAUCGGCGUGAAGAAAGCAGAUAAACAACGAGCAGUUGCGACGACGCUUCUUCCCAAAAACCUUGUACGAGUCCUACCCGUGCAGGGACAUAAGAGGAUAUAGGCUUCGGAGAUUCUGCUCUCCUACCCCGAUGGCACGUUGGUGGUGGGAUGGGGAAGACAAAGGCAUCACAGCGCUCUGGUGUGAAGAGAAAAAGGAGUACUGAGGACAACGUCUCGCCCUCUAUUUGUACACACGACGCGACAAAACAGACAAGUAAUCAGCCGAGUAAUCACAACACUAACGUGACAAUCAAUCACAAUUAAUACGAGAAUAAUUGCUUACCAAAAUAGCACCCGCAAGAUCGAAAGCGAGAAAUCGUCGGACCAUUCACGAGCACGCGUGUGGGUUCUUCCUUUUUCUCUCCUCAAUGGUUUCAAACAGGUGGAGACAAUUGAACUAUUUAAGUUAGUCCCACUCCACCUAAAGUAACAAGGUGAUACUAAAGUUGCUACCAUACUGUGCAUGUGUGAGUGUGCCUUUGAGAUUUAUAGAAAUUAUUAUUUGGACCAAGCCCAAAUUCUUAACACUAUUGCUAGAACCUCAAGACAAGAGUUGAAAUAAUUUAAAAUUUAGUGCAUAAACUUUAAACUUUCGGUUUAAGGUUGAAUCAACUUAUUUAAACUCUAUAGAAAUUGUACAGGCACCGAGCAAUAAAUUAUACGUUUCGUUGUAUUGCAGUGACAUAGUUUACCAGUGAAUUAUAAGACUUCACAAUAUGGUUAUUAUUUUGUUUGUAUAUCGAUCUAGUCUGUUUGACUACUUGAGAUUGAGAUUAUUUGGUACUUAUAUAUACUAUAUAUAUAUAAAUAAUUGGUUCCUGACGAACGACGAUGCUAGCUAGCCCAAACGCCGAUUCUUUAGACCAAAAAAUUGCGGCACUUUGCGAUUAUGUGUCCAAGUGCUACUGCUACCACCUACAUAAUUAAAUCAUUAUUGUGUGUUGCGAAACUUGGAUAGGAAAAAUGGUCACAAGUAGUUGUUUGAAGGAGAUUAUUGAAUCCAAGUACUUGUACUCCACCACCCCCAACAUUGCCAAAUAGGAUAUGUACUCAAGGAAAUCAAUGCUGAUUUCAUGACGCACAUGUAAUGCAUACAUGCGGAUUAAAUCCAACAAGAAUACAAUGUUUCAAAUAUAUAAUAUAUAUGUAAAGUCACACGCACUUGCAUACAUUACAUCGUAUAUAUGCAGUGAUCUUGAUACAAGGUAAUUCAAAAAACCCAUCACCCAAUCAAGAAAAAGCAGUACUAGUGGAGUACGGCAGUAGACACUAACGUAAAACCCUAGAUAUCUACCACACCGACGUCUCGCACAAACUAACCUUAGCUGACAUCGUCGUCUUCCUCUCGCUUUUGCACCGCCAGAGGUAGCAUCCAUCCAACGCCAACAUCACAGUCACGCUGCGGACAACUCGACCGACCAGAGCUCAAGCAUCACAUCUUUUCUUGCAAUAUUUUUCUACGCAUUUAAUUUUCCCAACCAAAAAAAUAAUAUUGGCGGGGAAAUAUUAUGGAAUACCAAGCACGACAGACUGGCAGAUGGGCCUUCUCCCUGCUGUCCUACAGACGGAGGAGGCCGCGGAUGCCAUCGGCGGUGGCGGCCUCCACGUUGCAGGACGGCGCGGCCGGCAUCACCACUCUGGUGUCCUUGGUAGGGGAGGACGCUUUCACGACGAGGGAGAAGCUGGGCAGCGGCAGGCUGCUUGGCGGCGGCGCCAGCACGUGCAGCAGGUCCUGAACGAAGUCCCUGGCCACCUCCUGCUCGAGGUCGUCCAGUGCCUCCGUCACCACUGGCGCGGGCGGCAGAGGCGUCGCGCGCUCCAGCGGCUUCUUCUUCUGCGCUGCGGACCUCUCCAUCGUCGGCGGAGGCGGCCUUGCCGGCCUCCUCCUCCUGUCCCUCUGGCGCGGCGGCGCAGGGGCUGCAGGCGGCACUGCUGCCGAAACUGAUACUGUGGUGCUUCCCGCUGCUGCCCUGCCGGCGCGUGGCGCCGACGCCGGCGGGGGCGGAGCUGCUGGUAGGGCGGGGAAAGUGGCGUACUUUGCAGCGGUCGGUGGGAGCGGCAGGAGCGGCGGUUGGUGGGACGGCAGGAGAGGAAGAGACGGCGACGAGUAUAUCACCGGAGGCCUCGCGUAUGGAAGCGCGGGAGCGGAGGCCCAUGCGCCACCUUUGUGCAGGUGGUUGUGUGAUUGCCACGUCGUGAACGAGCUGUACGAGCCGAACGGCGGCACCGCCGUCCUCGCGCCAGCUGGCCCCCGCCGGCCGCGACCAAUUAGGGAUCGCUUCGGGAACUCAAGGCUUCUAGAUGAUCGAUCCAGGAGAACGUUUUCCAUCUUGCUUUUGUCGAUCUAUAGAACAAAAGCUUCUUGAUUAGGUAGUAUUUGCGCUGUUUUGCUCAAGAAAGACAGGUUUUCGAUAUUGAUUGCUGAAUGGAAAAGGAAGCGCUCCCUAAAAAGAAUUCAGGUGGUUAGGAGCUGAGAGAACUCGUAUUAGUUUGAGAGGAAAUCUGCAACAGGAGAGCUAGCAAAAUCCUUGGGGAAGAAAAAACAGCAAGGAUACUAGGAUGGAUCGAAGGCGUGUUUAGAUCGAAGAAGAAAGAAAAGAACGAAGAGAACCAAAGAGGAAGAAGCUAUAUCUAUUUUUGAGGAGAUGUUAUCUUCCUCCUGCUGCUAUCUACUCCAGUAUAGAGAGCGAGGGAAUGGCCUCUGCACAAAGCCCACCCUCCACCUCCGAUCCGGG
rnacentral:lncRNA from 1 species